rnacentral:lncRNA from 1 species
AUUCAAAUCCUUAACAUUUAACAUCCUAAGCUACCAAAAGAAGAAAUGAGAAAACUAGCCUCCAUUUCAAGCUAUCUAAGCCUCUUACAUUCCAAGCUAGGAUCCUCACAUCAACUAAUUUUAAGAGUUCACAUCCUUUUUGCUCUUUAAUGCCCACAAUCUUUUCUGGUUAGGCAUAAACUGGCCCCAUAAAAACCAAGUGAGGCUACACUUGCUCAAUUGACUACCUGAUUACAAGUAACUCAUUUACCAAGAGCAAACAAGAUACACAUGUUGAUGCUGCUUGAUAGCACAAGCAUAAGUUUAAGGGAAAGCAUACCCAAGUUCGAGGGAAAGCAUACCAGUAAAUAUUACACCUAGACGACCAAUUGACCACAAUAGCAUUCAACCUCGACAAAUAAAGUUCAAAAAAGGCACUAGAACUAAGUUAUCUAACUAGAAUAAAAACAAAAAUGGGUUCAUGAAAUUCAGUACUUAACAAGCUGAUGUUGAACAAUAACAUUUGAAAUUAUUAUCAGAAGUUAAGAGUUUCAAUGUUGGAUUUUAAAUAACAGGUGUUUAGCAAUUGUAAGAGAAAACCGUAUGAUCAAAGCUAAAAGCUUUUACCUGCAACAAACCUUGGACGUUGCAGAGAGGCUCCAUAAAUCAAUUCACUUUAAUUUGAUCAAUCAUAAUAAUAAUUAGCUAUCAAUGUCUUUAGAUACUUGUAAAAAAGUGGAGAAAGCUCUAAAUCAUCCUCAACAAUGAACACAAAUUCAUCAUCACUGGCAGGCCACCAAGACUCGAGCCACUGUGCUUGCAAACCCACGUUCUAGGUCCUGUAAUGGACCAUCUUCCCUCCAUGUUUCCACUGAAACUCAUCUAUAAAUCCGAGAUUUUUUCGAGCUUCUUCAAGCUUUUGAUCCAAUAAAGCCCUAGAUUUGUUCCCCAAUUCAUCAAACCUCAAAUGGUCUACAUAUAUAUGGAGGGAUGUGCGAUCACCUGCAUAAUCAGCAUGGGCAAUAGAGUAAAGACAUCUAGUUAGAAAUGCCAGGCGAUCGUAUGUGAGGACCUUAAUAAUAAAGUGGAAAUUAGGGUUCAGGGAAUUGGGAUUUUUAGUGGGGUUCCCUGAAUUAGGGUUUUCAGGACUAGUGGUUGAUAUAAUGGGGACCGAUAAGCUGGUUCCUGAGCAAUUCGGGUUUACUGAGUGCAAUGGAGCACCCCUAGAAUCUGCAAAACUGGUCUCUGACAAAGUAGGGGGUGAAGAAUCAAGGUUUCCAGAAACUGGCUCAGCCAAUACAGGGUUUUGGACAAAGUAGGGGGUGAAAAAUCAAGGUUUCCAGAAACUGGCUCAGCCAAUACAGGUUUUUGUGAACUGGGGUUUAGAAAUCUAGGGCUUUGGAUAUUGGUUCUCUGCAAUUCAGUGCGAGGAUCCACAUUAGAGUUCCAGGUUUGUGGCAAAAAGAGAGGGAGUUCUGAGUGAUAGUAGAAAUAUUACAGAGACUGAGAGGAAGAACAAUGGGAGAAAUUUAUGGUGUGAAGGCAUGGAUUUAUUACCAAAAUCUGGUAGCAUUUCAUCCGUAUUACUUAUCUGGUUCCUCCCCCUCUUUUCGCAGAGAACGUCGUGUCUUCCAGAGCAACAACGAGCUUGGGAACUCAGGUUGGUUAUAGCUCAGGUAUUUUGCCUCUUUUUGUAAGUUCUAAGGUUUUACAGAUAAAAUGGUGAGUUUCCAGUAGUUGGGUAGUUAUAGCCAUGGCCAUUUUCUCUUCUCUUUUACUGUUGUCGAAGGAUCUCGGUUUUUGGAGAGGUGAAAUUCCACAAACUCGGGCAGUUGGCAGAGAAAAAUGGAGGCAGCUUUGAGCCAUGCCCGAUAUUUCGGUUUUCGAUUUCGUUGCGGGACACCUGAAAUCUCGACCUUGCGAUUGGGACGAGGUUUAAAUCACGUUCACACCACAAUAAAACGGGAUGGUCCGUUUCUUUUUCAUUACUGUAACGGGCGUUGGCAUUCGGCCUAGCCCGCACAUGUACACUGUAGUUGUGCUGAAAUUUCGACAUUACACAACAAAGUACAGUGUAGUUGUGCCGAAAAAGCGAAGGACGCGGUUAGCAUUCGACCAAGCCCGCACAUGUACAAAUGCGGGCUUGACAAUAAAUUAUUUUUUAAAUGUAAUUUGAUCUUAAUUUUUAGAGAAUAUAUAAUCUUUACUCAUGAAUAUGAAAAACUAAAUAAACCUUGAAAAUUAAAAAUAAUGGUUAUAUAAAGAAAAUAUUUGAACCGUUAAUUCCUAUUGUCUUUAGAUGAACCACCUAUUUGCAUCCAUAUUAGAUGUUUUAUGCCUCUGGACUGUAUAUUAUACAAAUACGGUCUCGCUUGAAACAAUUGAUCAAAAGGGACGAUAAAUGUAGAGCAUAUUUGAUUUCAAGGAGUUCUUGGAAGUGGAAUUUGAAUGUCCGACUUCUAUGUUUGAUUUUGUUGUGUGGAAGUGUGGCUUUCCGAGUAACAAUUUUUUACUAUUAAAAUGGUUCUUGUUUUUUAACAUUGUCCUAUAAAAAACGAUGGGAGAGAAGUCUUCUAUAAUUUGUAGGUGGCUCCCAAAAUCCCUGGGCGUCAAACACGCCCAUAAAGGGAAAAGUGGAAGAAAUAAUAGAUGAGAAAAAUAGCCAUUAUAAUGAAAAUAACGACUGUUAUAACAAUACUUACAGUUAUUCCAUAAUAGAAAAUUUACAUGUCCCCCAAAUUCUGUUGUUUAAGGGAUUGUUUACAAAGAGACUUUUUAUCUUUGGAAAAAGUUUAUAUAGAGCACAGGCUCUAAACAAUAAAAUUAUAACCCACUUCAAAAAUUUUACUAUAAGAUGUUGUUUUGAUGCCCAAAUAUCCUCAAAUUGAUCAUCUCGAUUCCAAGAUGCAUGUUCAUGAUAAAAAAAUGGAUUCCAAGUUUUGAAAAUAGUACAUCUUGUGAUGCAAUUUUUUACCAUCAAUUUUCAAAAUUUUCAAGUUUUCAUAGAUUGACUCUAUUUACAUUAUUUUUUUAAGCUUUAAAUUUGAAAAUUAAAUAUGAAAAUAUAUUUUAAGCCUAUCACAUAGAUUUCCAAUAUUAAAACGACAUUUCUCGACAUUAUUUGAAGGUGCGCUCUACAUUGAUUGUUCAGAGCCUCGGCUCUAUACAAACCACACCCUUUAUCUUUUGUCCCACGAGGUCACAAUCACUCUCACUCACUAGAUAUCAAAUUAGAUAGGCUGAGGCACGAGGAAUUUUUUAAAAAAUGUCUAUUCAAUAACACUCUUACAACCACCCAUUUUGAAAUCUAAGGGACAAUAAUGAUUGUGACAUCUAUGUACAAACAAUAAAUGGUCUCUUUGUAAACAAUCCCUUUGCCUAGGCUGUAAACAAUCAAAUUGAUAAGCACCUCAAAAAUUUCACUAGAAGUUGUUUUGAUGCUAAAAUAUCCUCAAAUCGAUCAUCUUGAAAUCAAAAUGCUCAACAUGAAAGAAAAAUGGAUAUCAAGUUUUGGAAAUAGUGCAUCUUGUAAUAAUUUUUUGGAUCAUUCAUUUCCAAGUUCAAGUUUUCAUAUAUCUGCUCGAUCUAUACUACUUUUUAAGCUUGAAAUUUUAUAAUUAGAUAUGAAAAUAUAUUUUAGGGCUAUCACAAAGAUUUUCAAUAUUGAAACCACAUUUCUCAAUACUAUUUGAAUGUGCACUGUAUUUUGAUUGUUUAGAGCAUGGCUCCAUACAAACCACACCUUUUAAAUAAUUCCUCCUUUUUUCUUUUUUUUUUUAGUUUGUACCUUUUUUUCGAAUGUUGUUUACUUUUGACCAAACUACUCCUAUUUCGGAUCUUGAAUAUUUGGUUUUUUUUUUUUCCUUUUUGGCUCAUGAACUUGUUGCGGACUUGCUAAUCUUGAAGGUCCAAAAUUGUUACCAAAUAUCAGCUUCUGCUCUUCAAUAUUUGAAGCUGAUCUUUGUCCAUGUAAAUUUCUAGGGUUCAUUUGAUAGAGAUCUAGAUGUAAUGUUAAAAAAUGUAUAAUGGAUUGUAUGUUGUUCAGUAUAUUAAGAAGAUUGUGUCAUGUAACACGAAGAUCACAUAAUGCAUGACUUUUUGUCAACAGAUUCAUACAAUGAAUGCAUUGUAUAUUGUGUGUGUUCAUACCAUGCAAUAAGAAGAUCAAAUCAACUUUAGAUCGCAAGGUCUUAAAUUGAUUUGGGAUUAUAUUUAUGCGGAAAAAAAAAUCAAAUUUUAUACUUCAAAAGUUAGUCUUUGGAACAACUUCUGACUUUCAAGAUUCGAAAUAGCUCUAUGAGAAAAUAAAUAAAUAAAUUUUAGACCUUUAGGACCUAAAUUGGGAGCAUUUGGUCAAAAAAAAAAAAAGAAAGGGAAUUUAUCAAACUACUUAUAAGAGAGGGACAAUUUAACACUUUCCUAUUACUUUUGAUUUAAUUUCAAAAUUUAUAUAAAAAAAACCACAUGGGCUUGAGUUGGGAUAGUUACAAACCGUCAAAACAUUAAAUCGUUCGUCUUUUAUGGGCAUUUUGGUCAAGUUCCCCAUUAAAAACUUGAAAAAAAAAGGGUAUGGUUGUAAAAACAAAAAUUUAGAGGACAUUUUUUAAAUAAUUGUAAUUGGGGUUUAUGUGUGUAAAUUUAUCUUCCGUAUAUGCUAAAAGACGAGGUCCCCUCCCAAAACAAAUCUAAAGUUGGAUUUUGGAUUCAAAUUUUUGUGAGCAUAGAAUCUAGAUCAUGAAUCAAAAAGAAAAUAUAUCUUAAACUUUUGAAAGUCAUCUAUUUUUUUGUUUUUUUUGGGGGCACCACUCUUUUAAAUUCUUUGUGAUCAUCAAAUAUAUAUUAUCUUUCAACCAACAAAGCUCUUCCCCAUUGUUAUGAACGGGAUCAAGGGCAGUGGUCAAGGUGGCGGAGCGCUACAAAGUGAUGUCUUGAGUUUCAUUCCUAUCACAAAUAAGGGACAUCUUCCUCACUCAAUAACACCCCCUAAAAAAAAAAUAAAAAAUUUAAUUUACUUCAAAAAAAGAAAACAACAUAUCUGUGAUAGGAACAUAUCUUGAAUGGUUAAAUAUUUGCUUCCUAUCCCAAAUCAACAGGAACUGAGGAUAGGCUCAUGGCAUGGACAAAAAGUUCUACAUAAUUGGGGAAAGUGUAUUUGAUAUCUAAGUUCUUAUCAUAUCUUUGGAGUUAUUCGUAACUCUUCCAAUACAUUUAUUUUCUUAGGAAUUGAGGUAAUCCUUUUCAAAGGUCAGGGACUCUUGUUGCUAGAUUUCCACUUCAUAUGGUAUAUUUUUUAGAAAUUUAUGCUCGUGUUCCUUUAGAUAUAUGCUAUUGUACAAAUAUUUUUAUUUAUUUUUUGUGUGUUUUGUUCAUAUUUUUAAAUUUUUUUUAUUUUUAUUUUUUCUAUAGAUUAGUGUUACUUUGGAUCUUGAAGGUUUGAAAUAUCUGAACUUGGGACCUUUAUUUGGACCUUGAAAAUUCGAAAUGAGUUUUCCAGAGUUCACCUCGGCCCCAAAGUGAUGGGUUGUUGUUAUUUGUCACUUAAAAAUUUUAUUUUAUGUCAUGUGGACUUAGACCAUAUGUUAACUUGCCAACAGUCUCCCGAUACUUGCACAUACAUACAUCUUUGGUUCGCGUGUGGAAAAAUUUCUUCAUGUAGUUAGAUGUGAGAAUAUUUUCACACCAAUUGAUCCCAUCGCAUCUUUCCACAUUAAUUAACAACUAAUUGAUGUGAAAAUAUUCACAUACCUAACUACAUGAGGGAAAUUUUUAACAUAAAAAUAUUUCUUGAGAGAUAUUUUCACGCGAAUCAAAGGUGCCCUUGGCGUUACUUUUCUUAAGUGUUGUGUUGCCAUUUCUAAUUGAAGUUUGCGUGAAUAAGUAGCUAAAUGUUUUAAGGUUCAUAGGAUGGGCAACCUAUUAUUUAAAUUUUGUAUCUAUGGACUUGAAUAUGAGUGGCAAAAAUGCCACUGCUAAACAUUGACACCCAUGUCAGUGUCCAUGUAAUAUUGGAUCAUAGCAAAAAUGUAAUUUUAGACUUUGUUUAAGAUCAUUGUAACUUCAAAUCUUGAUGGUCCAAAGUAUGAGUAUUUUGGAUUAAAAAUAAAAAAUAAAAAUGAGUAUGAACAUAAAAAAAAAUGAAAAUUUGAGGGGAUUUAAGUUAGGUGGCAUGAGCAUAAAAAAUAAGAACAUUACAAAGAAGCAGAUGGAUAACUACGACCAUGAAAUCACAAAUUCUAAAAUAAUGAUGUUCAUAUGGUCUAAUACUCUAAUAUUUGGAAGACUCAUGCAUAAUCACGACCCUGAAGUUGUGCCUUUGUGGUUUCUCAAACAAUGAUGUUUGUUUGAAGCCUCAAUUAUGGAGAGCCUCUUAUUUUCUGCUUGCUUUUGCUUCUCUACUGUUGUCACCGAUCUGUAAGAAUUUAACCAUGGUUUCUACUUUUUCAAGGCUCUGGUUUUUCGACUUACCGGCCCGUAUUACCGCGACACUCCAAUUUGAGCUUCGUUUUGUGUGCCGACAUUUGGGGACACUACAAGUAAUACAAAAAAGUUUCACCAAAUUUAUAGAUAAUAUUAAGCACAAUACCUCUUGAACAUAAAUCCCAAGCUCCACCAUUCUGCCCCUUUAACCUUCAUGUUAUGUUUUAGGAAUACACCCCCCCCUCCCCCACCACACACACACAUGCACAUGCACAUGUGUAUAUGUUUUGCCGGAUUAGUCUUUACACUGAAGUACCUGGGUUACUUGAAGCGGAUCCGGAUCUGAUCUGCAUAGACUUUCUUAUAGAUUGAGGUCAUCGAGAUUAUGCUAGGUCUCUAGCCCGCACUAGGUCUCUGACUCAUCAGCAUUAAUUUCGUUUUCAAGAAUGGGGGCGAAGCUGGUUCACUGGGCGGCAGAGAAAAAACAAUGUGUAACAAGUGAUUCAAUGGUCCUUGUACCACAGUGAAUAAAAAAAGAAAAAAAAACUUUAAAGAAAGACAUUUUACAUAUUUCAUAUAUGUGGGCUACCAUAAGUUGGUUUUGGUUCAUGUUUUCUUAUGAUUGGAUCCAUUUGUUGAUUUGCAACACAGUGAUUAGUAUGCAAAGCUACUAACAGGAAACAUAAUACAUCCCUGUCAUUGCUUACUUCUACCAAAUCUAUACUCUGUGAAUCCUCUUUGUUACAUAUUUCUUGGGUCGAAAUGCAUUAUAUGUCUUGGAUGUGCCUUUAGUUGCCCAAAGGAGCUGUUCCUGCUAUACAUUGCCACCCUCGAAUUUCCGGCCCUAUGUAAAAUCCUCCCACAAUUCAUAUUUAGCUCGAAAGAAUUCAUCGUAACAGAAAAAGCAAUCCCACUCCACCGACGAUCGAUUCUCUCAUGGUGAAUAUGUUUGAUAAAAUCAAACGACAAACACUUUCAACAAAACCUACAGCUAGAGAGGCCAAACAAAAGAAUGCAAAUAACUGAAAUAAACAGUAGAUAAUAGAGAAAUCUAUGCGCAUAUCCUCUGAAAUCCCUGUUAUUUAAGCAUUCUUUCAAAAAGUUUUCGUCCUUACGUUCAUGCCCAUUUUCUCAAUUUUUUUCAAAAUGAUUAAAUGGCCCAUACUUUCGACAGAAGUAGGAGAAUUCUGGUCAUUUAAAACAAAAUGCAAAAAAAUCAAUAUGAACAUAAUAACAACAUUUUUUGUGGAAAUUUUUAAAUAACAAAAAUCAUGGGGGAAUGAUGGUGAAUAAACUAGAGAAAGGGGGGAGAGGGUAAAGAGAAGAGGGAGGUGGAGAGAUAAAUAAGGUAAAGAGUGAGAAGAUGAAAAAAAAAGGGGAUUGAGAUAGUGAAAAGAGACGUUAAAAGGGUUUGGGAUUAGAAAUAGGGAGGCAACGGAUCAGCUCGAUCCGGAUCCGACCUGACUAAGUAUUACACGGACUUGGAUCCGAUCGGGGUUUAGAUUAUUUGGACCCAUACCCAAACCGGACUCGGGUCAGGUCCAAGUCAUUUGAACCUAGAUCUGACCCAACCAAUAUUACAUGGACCUAGACUCAACUUGGGUCCAGGUCCUAGUCAUUUGAACCUGGACCCGAACCCAGACCUGGACCUGAUCAUAGUAAAAAUUUAUGUUAUAUACCAUAUUAUGGUUCCGAAGGAUAAACUGGAUAUGGAUAGUUCUAAUAGGAUUUCAUUAUUUAACAAAAAUCUAUUUGAUGAUUUAUUUCACCUAUUCCAUGGUCGGAAUAAAGGUGGAUACACGUUACACCAUGAUUUUGAAUAAGAAGAGAGAUUUCACGAAAGGACAGAUCUAUUCAAUCUAUCAAUAACUGAGCCCGGUCUGAUGUAUCAUAAGGGAUUUGCCUUUUUUAUUGAUUCUUAAAGAUUGGAUAAAAAAAUUUAUUGAAUGAGGCAUUCUAACUCCAAGGAUGAAUUAUCGGUUCUCAUAUCUUAUAUAUAGUUUAUACCUGUUCAGGUCGACCUCGACCUAACCCAACGUCGGAACAUAUUUGAAGACAUAUUUGUGUGUUAUAAUCAGAAUUGAUGAUAUAUUUGAAGUUAAUUUUGAAAUGGGGACUGAAAAAAAAAUAAAAGAAGUGGAAUGACUAAAUUCAAGACCAUAUCAUAAUGUAACUUUUUUUGGUCCGUACAUAUUUUUCCUAAAUUAUAAUUUAAGAAAAAUAUCAUUUAAGGGAUUAAUCAUUAAAUGAUCCUAAGUAAUCUCAGUUGACAUUUGAGGGGUUAUUUUUUUUUUUUUUCAUUUCACUUGGACAUCUCCUAAAAAAAUAAAUAAAAAAAUAAAUUGUAAUUAUCAAGGAUGAACAAUCAAGGACAUUUAAGUAAAUUUAAAUGAGAUAAGUGAUCUCGAUUGAUGUUUGAGGUGUUACUUUUUCCUCUAAAAAAUUGUUUCAUGCAGCAAGGACCGUAUUUUUACAAUUGCGAUCCCUAAGGUAUGGUGUUAUUUUUGUAAUAAUAAACAACCAAGGGUAUUUUUAUUAUUUGUCACAUAUAACACUAAAUAACAAAAAAUACCCCAAGUUUAUCCUUCCCAAUCUUAAACAUAGCAAUAUGAAAUUUGUUUAAUCUUGGGAAAUUAUAAAAAUUAUAUCCUAAGUUUUGGAUUAUUAGAAAUAAACUCCAAAACUUUUCAUUACCUCAUCCAUACUUUGUUUUUUUUCACUUUUGCUCCUUUUUUUUUUAUCCAAAUAGCAUCCAUGACAGUCUUAAAAUUGUGAAGGCAACACUAUGGACUCACUACGAUGAUGGUCAUAGAUAGUUAUUUUUUUGAGAUAUUACAAUACUUAAAUAGCUAUGAUAGUCGUUAAGUGACAUCACAGCACUUAAAAAGUCGUAAUGGUUGUUAAGAGUUCUUAUGCCCUAUGACGAAGGUGUAACAAUUAAAUUAGAACUGUGAUAGUCCAAUAAACCAUCAUGGUUCUUUAAGUGUCAUGAUGCUUGAAAACUACAUUUGAUUGAGAACCCACCGUGACCAUCACGGAUUUCAAUACACCGUGAUGCCUUCACUUUUCUAAGACUACCAUGAAUGCUAUUUUCGUUUAUUCACCCAAAUAAAUUGUAUGGAUGAGGUUUUGAAAAAUUUGAGAUUUAUUUUUAAUAAUCCAAAAAUUAAGAUAUAUUUUUGAUAAUUUCUUUUUAAUCUUUUAGGAGGUACCUAAGUGAAUGGACAAGAAAAAAUAACCCUUCAAAUAUUAUUUAAGAUUAUUUGACCCCUUUGCUACGUAUGUACAAAAUUUCAACCCUUGGAAUAAUUUAUUCCUUGUAAUUCAUGACUUUCGAUUCAAUUCCACAGCUGACCUACUAAAAAAAUAAUAAUAAUAAAGGAAAAAGUUUCUAUAGAGCCAAGGCUCUAAACAAUCAUAUUAGAGCCCACAUCAAAAAUUUCACUAGAAGUUGUUUUGAUGCCCAAAUAUCCUCAAAUUGUUCAUCUCCACAUCAAGAUGCAUGCACAUGAGAAAAAAAUGGAUUUCAAGUUUUGGAAAUAGUGCAUCUUGUAACGUAUUUUUUGACAAAUUUCAAGAUUUUUAAGUUUUUAUAGAUCUGCUGGAUCUACAUCAUUUUUUUAGCUUUAAAUUUCAUAUUUAAAGAUGAAAAUAUAUUUUAAGACUAUCACAAAAAAAUUUAAUAUUAAAACCAUAUUUCUCGAUGCUAUUUGAAAGUGGGCUCUACUUUGAUUGUUUAGAUUCUCUGUUCUAUACAAAUCACGUUAUAAUUUUAGCGAGGUAGUUUCGCACGAGCCCCCCUCCACCAUGACUCGCAAUAGAAGAUGGGAAAGUUGUUUAGGGGAGAGAGGGAGAGAUCACCUUUUCAAAAGUACACGGUUUUUACGAGGACCUGGUCCCGCAUAUGUAGAAAGCGGGCUUCUUGAUAAAUUUAUUUUUGAGAUGGAUUUUAGGACUUAAAUUUUAAAGACAUGUUAUAUCUAACAUGGAGAUCAUGAAUAUAAAAAAAUAAAAAAUAAAUUUAAAAAACUGUAAAUGACAAUUAUAGUAAGAAAACAUUUGGACUAUUAAUUUCCAUUAUUUUUAGAUGGAUACCUACUUGGAUCCAUCUUUAAGAUGGAUGCUUUGGACUUUCCGGACCGCAUAUAUAGAAAUGUGGUCCAACCCGCAUGAAUCAUUUUUCUUUUUAUGAGUCCACGGAUUCACAUGUAGAAAUUCGGGCCACUUAACAAUUUAUCUUUGAAAUAGAAUUUAAUCCUAUUUUUCAGGAAAUAUACAAUCUUUAACAUGUAGAUUAUUAAGCUAUAGAAAUAAAUAAAUUUUAAAAUAAUAUACUUAGAAAAUAUAUCUGAACAGUUGAUUUUACUAUUUUUUUGGAGCACUAUUAUUUAUGAUGUAGAUCUACAUUUUCUUUGAUGGAUGAUGUAGAUCUGCAAGCCCACAUAAUAACAAGUGCUGGGGUUGAACGCACCAAACAAUUAUCCUCUUAAAAUAGAAAGGGAGGCUAGAAUAUUUCAAAAAUCUUGCUAGUUGGGUGGAUUCGCAUGAACAAGUGAAAGCUACCUACUCAACAUUUAUCUCCCCCUUUUCUCAUUAUCCAUAUCUCAAAGAAUAAUGGAUGCCACUCUUGUAGAGAGAGAGGGAAGAGGAGAGAGAAGCUGUGUUUUCAAGAGAGAGCUGUGUUUUUUUUUUUUUCAAAUGUUGAGAGAGAAAUUUUUGUGGAUGAAAUUUAAGGCCUAGGCUUUAUAAAAAUAAAAUAAAGCCUUAUCUCAAAUCUUUGUAUGGAAAAUAAUUUUGUCAACAAAGAUUUAUGUGAUGGCUCUAAAGUCAAUUUCCAAUAUGACAAUAAAAUUUGAGACUUAAAAAAUAGUACAGAUUUUGUAGAUUUUUUAACAUCUAUUUUAAAUGUAAAAAUAAACGGUCUAGAUAAUAUGUUAUAAUAUACAGUAUUUUUAGAACGUGAAAUCUUUUUUUUUUCACAACUAUAAUUUCAAGUCAAGAUAAUCGAUAUAAAGAUUUUUUAAUGACUUGAAAUUUUGGAUGAGUUAGGAAGGGACUUGCAAGAUAAUCAAUGUAAAGGUUUUUAAUAGUGCAAACCAUUUUCCUAUUUUUUUUUGUCACCCUUUCCUCAAAUAUAAAGAUACUCAAUCCCCUCACUCUCUCUUCUAUGUUUAUUCUCUCUCUCUCUCUCUCUUCUCUCUCUCAUAGCACGUGAAGCUGCCAACACUAGCUUCUCCGUCGCCUUUUAUAAAGGAGCCGGUCUCUCUCUUUUUGAGCUCUCCCUGUCUCCCUUGGGGGUGGCAAUGGAGACCUGAUCUAGAUCAAGAUUAGACCCAGAUAAGGACUUGGCCAGGUCUGUUAAUGUGACUUAGAUGCGGACCUGACUUAUGGUCAACUUCAAGUUAUUUGGACCAGUGUUCGUAAAAUCGAACUGGAACGGUUAACUGGAUAUGGGCUAAGGAGCGUUAGAACUGAAACCGGUCUAACUCGGUGGUUAACUGGAUCAGUUUGGUCCGGUAGAUUUUUUUUAAAAAAAAAUGAGUCAAAAACCCUAAUAAAAAAAAAAAAAAAAAAAACAAUAGAUUAAGUGUAUACUAUCUUAUUACCUAUAUUUAUCUUAAAAAAAAUUUGAAACCACUUUUUUAUAUAAAUUAAUAUUUAAAUACUAUAGAGAUAUGCAAGACAAUUCAUAAUUGGGAAAUAUACCUAUAUUUUUGCAAAAUUGAAAAAAAAAACCCAAACUUUCAAAAGCCUCAUCUACACCCUUUCUCACUAUUUUCGGGUUUUUUUGACGAAAUACCCUUAACGGUAGUCUUUCUACCAUAAUAUAUACUGCAAGUUUUACUAUAAUUAAAAUACCGUAAAAAUUCUAAAUAAUAUUACGAUACUUUAAGUAUCGUAAAUCUCUAGCCAUGAACGUAAAGCUAAUUACGGUAUUUUAAGUACCGUAAAAACUAAAAACCUAUUAUACGGCUUUUACGUACUGUAAAAACUAACCCAUGUUUUAUGACACUUAAAAUGUUGUAAACCCUUUUAUCUUUCUUUUAUAUUUAUCUCUUUCAUCUCUAAUUUUAUCUCUCUAAUUAUUUUUAAUAUUUAUCUCGUCUUUCUCUCUCUAAUUCUUUUUAAUAUUUAUCUAUUUUUUCUCUCUACAAUCUCAUCAUCGUUUCCUUAGACAAUAUUUAUCAUUAGAUAAUAUUUAUCUCUUUUAUCUCUAAUUCUUUUUAUGUUUGUCUAUUUUUUAUUUUCAAUUCUUUUUAAUAUUUAUCUGUUUUUUAUUUCUCGAAUUCUUUUUUAUGUCUUCUUUCUCACUCUACAAUCUCAUCAUCAUUUCCUUAGAUAAAUCAUGUCAUUUGUUUUGCAUAGCCGACGUCAGUGUAAAUCAUGUCAUUUGUUUUGCAUCGCUGACGUCAGUGUAAGUCAUGUCAUUUGUUUUGCAUAGCCGACGUCAGUGUUUGAUUACUCAGACGAGCCAAUUUGGACACAGCAAAAUAUCCCACUUAGGGAUAGAAAAUAUUUAGAGAGAGAAAGAAGAGAUAAAAAAGAAUUAGAGAGACAAAAAAGAGAUGAAUAUUAAAAAGAAUUAGAGAAAAAAUUAGAGAUGAAAGAGAUGAAUAUAAAAUAAAGAGAAACGGGUUUACGACAUUUUUAGUGCCGUGCAACAUUUUUUACGGUACUUAAAAUGUCGUAUAAUCGGUUUUAGUUUUUACGGUACUUAAAUAACCGUAAUUGGCUUCACGGUCAUUGCUAGAGUUUUAUGGUACUUAAAGUACUGUAGUAUUACUUAAAGGAAAAAGUUUAUAUAAAGUUGCAAUCUUAAAAUGUAGAAUCACAAAUGCACUUCAAAAAUCUAUCGGAAAGGUUGUUUUAAUGUUGAAAAACCCUUUAAUUUAUCAUCUCGACAUCAAUAUGUAUGAAUAUGAAAAAAAAAAAAAAUUUGGAGUCUCAUAAAUAGUGUAGCUUGCAACACAUAUACAGAUCGUCAAUUUUAAAGAUUUUCAUAUGUUUAUAGAUUUACUUGAUUUUAAACAUUUUUUAAUUAGAUAUGAAAAUAGAUUUUAAGAUAAUCCUAAUAUUUUUUUACAGCAAAAUUACAUGCUAUGAUAAAAUUUGGAGGUGUGCCUUAAUUGGAUUGUUUAAGGUUGCAACCUUAUAGAAACCGCACCCUUACUUAAAAGUUUUACGGUAUUUUAAUUAUCAUAAAACUUGUUAUGUGUAUUCCGGUAGAAAGACUACCGUGAAUGACAUUUUCGUCAAAAAAACCCAAAAAUAGUAAGAAAGGGUAUAGACGAGGUUUUUGAAAGUUUGAGGUUUUUUUUUCAAUUUCUCAAAAAUAUAGAUAUAUUUGCUAUAAUUUUCCUUCAUAAUUUGACAUUAAUUCCAUUGAGGGAGUUACAAAGUCCAAUUAACAAUGGCUAGUAGUAAUAAGAGUGGCGAGGGGGGUGAGGGUAUUGUUGUGUCUUGCUAUCAAGGUUUAUUGGGUAAAAAAUCUGAGUAACUUCAACAUUGUCAUUAUCAUGAAUAACCAGGUUACGGUGUAGGUUGUAACUUCAUGUCUCCCUUGCCUAGUAGUUGUUAUGCCUCGAUGCCUGGAUUUCCUCCCGAGCUAAUAUCAGUGGAUCAUCUUCUUGAAUAUUGGGAAUCUUAUCAUGUUGCGCCCUAUCACAUUCCUGGACGACUAGACGUUGCCAAUCAUUUUUCAUUAUCCUAUCUGUCUCAUCGUCAUCUUGCUCCUCAUCUUCGUCAUCUGCGUAUGUCAUAGUCGAUGUCCAUGUCCACUAUUGUGUCUCUCUCAUUGGGUGCUGCAACAUCCACAUUAUCAUCCAUAUCGACAAUUGCUAUUCUAAAGAAAUCCUAGUCAAGUACUGGGGUCCUUUGCGAUACCCACUCAUCGGCAAGGUCUUUUUGAAAGAUGUAAACAAGGUUGAUUGGAUUGUAAUAUGUGUGAGGGUCUUCCUUAGUUGCAUCUCUUUCAAAGUUGUAGUGGAGUACAUAAGGUUGUACAGCGUCUGAGUCUUUAACAUAUUCCGCCUCGAGGCAUGUAUCCAUUAGAAUGUAUUCCAGUUUUUCUUACAUUACGAUGAAGUACAUGUUUGACUCAAACUAUGACUGCAAUCUUUUGUAAUUGCUUCGUUUGAAUUACGUGUACCGUCCACCAAUACGCUGACAUAGACAAACAUAAAAAUACUUAAUAAUAGAAAAAAUUAAUUUAAAAAAAUCACAAAUAGUGUUGUACUAAACUAUUAUAGAUUAUAACUUAUAACUAACUUAGGAACAAUUUUGUAUCUGUUUUUUUGGCAUUGUUGUAUUCAAAUUGCUAUUUUUUUCCAUGUACAUGAUAAGCUACAAAGAACGAUAUGCAUAUACAAGAAAGUAGUGCAACCAGCGUUUUAAAAAACGCCGAGUUGAACCGGACUCGCCCGGUUCGACUUGGAAAUCGUGAAAAGGGGACCGGAUCGCCCAAAAAUCGAAAAUCGUCCGGUUCUAGAGAGAACCGGACGAUUCUGUACAGUGAAUCGCCGAUUCACUGUACGGAAUCGGCGAGUCCGAACAGUGAAUCGGCGAUUCCGUACGGAUUUUUUUUUUUUUUUUUAUUGUAAUCCAUGAUAGAUUUUUUUUGUAAUACUUGAUCGAUUUUUUUGUAAUCCAUGAUCGAAUUGNNNNNNNNNNNNNNNNNNNNUUGGUUUUAGUUUUUACGGUACUUAAAUAACCGUAAUUGGCUUCACGGUCAUUGCUAGAGUUUUAUGGUACUUAAAGUACUGUAGUAUUACUUAAAGGAAAAAGUUUAUAUAAAGUUGCAAUCUUAAAAUGUAGAAUCACAAAUGCACGUCAAAAAUCUAUCGGAAAGGUUGUUUUAAUGUUGAAAAACCCUUUAAUUUAUCAUCUCGACAUCAAUAUGUAUGAAUAUGAAAAAAAAAAAAAAUUUGGAGUCUCAUAAAUAGUGUAGCUUGCAACACAUAUACAGAUCGUCAAUUUUAAAGAUUUUCAUAUGUUUAUAGAUUUACUUGAUUUUAAACAUUUUUAAUUAGAUAUGAAAAUAGAUUUUAAGAUAAUCCUAAUCUUUUUUUACAGCAAAAUUACAUGCUAUGAUAAAAUUUGGAGGUGUGCCUUAAUUGGAUUGUUUAAGGUUGCAACCUUAUAGAAACCGCACCCUUACUUAAAAGUUUUACGGUAUUUUAAUUAUCAUAAAACUUGUUAUGUGUAUUACGGUAGAAAGACUAACGUGAAGGGCAUUUUCAUCAAAAAAACCCAAAAAUAGUAAGAAAGGGUAUAGACGAGGUUUUUGAAAGUUUGAGGUUUUUUUUUCAAUUUCUCAAAAAUAUAGAUAUAUUUGCUAUAAUUUUCCUUCAUUAUUUGACAUUAAUUCCAUUGAGGGAGUUACAAAGUCCAAUUAACAAUGGCUAGUAGUAAUAAGAGUGGCGAGGGGGGUGAGGGUAUUGUUGUGUCUUGCUAUCAAGGUUUAUUGGGUAAAAAAUCUGAGUAACUUCAACAUUGUCAUUAUCAUGAAUAACCAGGUUACGGUGCAGGUUGUAACUUCAUGUCUCCCUUGCCUAGUAGUUGUUAUGCCUCGAUGCCUAGAUUUCCUCCCGAGCUAAUAUCAGUGGAUCAUCUUCUUGUAUAUUGGGAAUCGUAUCAUGUUGCGCCCUAUCACAUUCCUGGACGACUAGACGUUGCCAAUCAUUUUUCAUUAUCCUAUCUGUCUCAUCGUCAUCUUGCUCCUCAUCUUCGUCAUCUGCGUAUGUCAUAGUCGAUGUCCAUGACCACUAUUGUGUCUCUCUCAUUGGGUGCUGCAACAUCCACAUUAUCAUCCAUAUCGACAAUUGCUAUUCUAAAGAAAUCCUAGUCAAGUACUGGGGUCCUUUGCGAUACCCACUCAUCGGCAAGGUCUUUUUGAAAGAUGUAAACAAGGUUGAUUGGAUUGUAAUAUGUGUGAGGGUCUUCCUUAGUUGCAUCUCUUUCAAUUUCAAGUUGUAGUGGAGUACAUAAGGUUGUACAGCGUCUGAGUCUUUAACAUAUUCCGCCUCGAGACAUGUAUCCAUUGGAAUGUAUUCCAGUUUUUCUUACAUUUCGAUGAAGUACAUGUUUGACUCAAAACUAUGAUUGAAAUCUUUUGUAAUUGCUUUGUUUGAAUUACGUGUACCGUCCACCAAUACGCUGACAUAGACAAACAUAAAAAUACUUAAUAACAGAAAAAAUUAAUUUUAAAAAAUCACAAAUAGUGUUGUACUAAACUAUUAUAGAUUAUAACUUAUAACUAACCUAGGAACAAUUUUGUAUCUGUUUUUUUGGCAUUGUUGUAUUCAAAUUGCUAUGUUUUUUCCAUGUACAUGAUAAGCUACAAAGAACGAUAUGCAUAUAAAAGAAAGUAGUACAACAUAGAAAUGCAAUUUGUAAUUUUGAAUUAAACUUUUGGACCCCGCCCUAACCCAUCUAUAUGAAUUAAAAAAUAAUAGAAAUUAUUUUAAAUAUGAUUUAAUAUAUAUAACAUAAAAAAAAUAUCACAGUACACCCUAAUUUGGUGUACCAUUUCCUAGGAGAUCCACUUAUUUGAAAACUAUCUUAAGGUAUUAGGUUUUCAAAAAGUUUAUCUUCUAACCCAACCCCAUUGGACUAUUUUUUUAUAUAUUAUCGUCCCAAACAUCUUAAAAAAUGAUGAUUUUUUUACUCUCUCUAUCCUUUCUUUUCCCUUUUCCCUCUCAAUCUUAUUGACUCUCUCUCUCCCCUACUCCCUCUCUCUCUCCACUCACUCCCAACCAUUCUCUCUCCUCUAACCAUCCUCUCUCUCUCACCUUUCUCCCCCGUACUCUCCCUCUCUCUCUCUCUAUCUUGUCUUUCUCCCCAAAACCGUCUUUCUCUCUCCCACAUCAGGCUUCGAGCUCUCUAAACUCGUUGCUAAAAAGUACCUAUUUAUUUGAUUGUGCAACUUCAAUUCUGGUAACCCACUGUUUUUGUCAGAUUAACCAAUUAGCAAGGGUAAUCCAUCGCCUUUGAUUCUACAACUUCAGUUUUGGUUAUCGGAGGGAAUGGGGACUCAAUGAUGCAAUGAAAUCAUUUGAGAGAAUCGUGGGAAAAUGGGGUUGAUGCCUCUGCUUAUGGCAUUAUGGUCACAGGACUUUGGGAAAAUAAGGACUCAUCAAAAGCUCUUUGUAUUUAUGGAGAAAUGAUUAAAUAGCAAAGUGCUUUUGAAUCGCCCAUCAUCGUUAAGGGGCUCAGUAAAAUUGGAUCAUUUCGGGAGCUAUAUAUGCUUUUGAAAAUCGGCAUUUGGCUUCAUUUUUGGGGUGGUUAUCUCUUGUUGAUCCGGAGGAUAUAUUUUUUGAAAACUAAAUAUAUGGGUCUACUAAAAAAUGAUACACCAAAUUGGGGUCUACUAAGAUAUUUUCCUUAUAAUAUAUUUUAUACUAGGUAGGGUCAACCUUGAUUGCUAUUGGAAUUCUAUGCUAGACUCGGACCCAAUUAGGAUAGAGUCCAAACAUUCAGACCCAAACCCAACCCACCAGGUGUUAGGAAUUGACCUAGACUAGACCCAGAUCCGAACAACCAGCAUACCCACCGAUCGACCCGACCCGAUUGCCAUCCUUAUAUGUCUCUCUUAUGGUGGUGGACAAAACCAAAGGGGGUGGUACGUGGUAGUGGGGUGGGAGUGUGGCAGCAUGUAAGGAGACUCCUGCCAUGUUUUAAGGUCACUUGCGGCAUUUGUUUAGAGCGAGCGAGAUAGGGGUGGGAAUUUGGUGGAGAGGUUAAGGGACUCGUGCCAUCUUUUAACUUUACUUGUGGCAUACGCAGAGAGAAAGUUUUGGCCGAGAAUCAAAGGAAACCACGUCAAUUUUCAAGGUCGGGUCACGAGUGGCAAUGGACCCGGAUUGAUUCGGGAACCGAGGCGUAGGUCAAUCAGAGUUUCAGUACAUAUCUACAAAUUGGACCUAGUACUAUUUUGGGUCAAGUGCGAUUGGGUUUGGUUAGGUCCAUUAACAUUUUUUGAGUCCCAACAUCUGAAACAUAUUCAAAGGGCAGCGAUUUCAUGCAAGGGUUGUAUCAUAAUAUAAUUCAACAACCUUUAAAAAUCAUGUUAUUUGUUUGAUUCAAAUUUUAAAAUAUAAAUUUUUUUUCAUUUUAAUGAACAAUCGUCAAAAAAUAAAAAUUUGAAAACAUAACCUAGAAAGUAUGUUUUUAGCACAGUUAACGUAGGUUGUCCAUUUCGAUAAGAUACUUAGAUCUAGACUUUAAAAUGAUUUUUUUUUCUUUUCCAAUUUUUUUAGAUGGCUUUAUUAUCAUUAGAUGAACCAUGAUAAAGAUGAAAAAAAUGAUUUUGAGUUUGUAAAGGUUAAGAUAUUGAAAUUCACCAAAUAAGCGAUCUAGAUUCGUUAUUGGGAGAGACUCAUUUUGACCAUAUCUAAGGGUUUAAAUUGAUUUUUUUUUUUUUGGGAUUGAUUAUUUAGAUGAAGAGAAUGUGUGUAGAAUUUUAUAUCGUACAAAUAACACAAACAUGGUUUUUUUACCAGUGUUGUUGUAUUACACAAUGAUACAACCGUUGCAGUAGAUCAUUACUUAUAUUUAAAUAUAGUAAAAUAUAUACAUUUUAAUUUUUGAGUUAGAUCUAAAUCCUACACUAUGUUUUAGGUUUAGGUCCGGUGAAUUCAGGUUUGGACCCAGACCUAGACCCGACCUUGCGAUAGAUCAUUACUUAUAUUUAAAUAUAGUAAAAUAUAUACAUUUUAAUUUUUGAGUUAGAUCUAAAUCCUACACUAUGUUUUAGGGUUUAGGUCCGGUGAAUUCAGGCUUGGACCCAGACCCAGACCCGACCUGACCAGUGGCUACUCCUUAGGUCAUGGGAUUUGCUGGAGAGAGAGACUUGCAUAGUUUUUUGAGGUCAUCUAGGCGAGGGAGAGAAUAAAUUCCCCAGUAGGGCUUUUACAAGGAGAGGGCAUAGGCGUGAAAUUUCAAAUUGUAGAGAGAGAGAGAGAGAGCGGAAGUCCUAAGCGUCCAAGAUUAAGGUUGAAUGUUAGAGAGAGAGAGAGAGGGAGAACCGUCCAACAUGUCAUUGAGGUUGAAUGUUAUAGAGAAAGAGAGGGCGAGGUGGACGUAUUCCACCGAAUUGCAAGGAGAGAGAGUAAAAGUUUAGAGAGAGAAAGCAAAAACUUCAAAAACGAAGAAGAGAAAAACACAGAAGAGAGAGCAGAGACUUCAGAGGUGUAGGUUAGAGAGAGAAGCAAAAAAAAUUCAAAAUCGAGGAGAGAGAAACACCUCCAGGGUAAAAACGUUCCAUUUUCAAAUUCUUGGGCGGUUCCCCAAAAUUUCAAAAAGCAAAAAAAAAAACUAUAUUUCCUAUUAACCUGUUAAAUCCAGAAGGGCGUAUUCGAAAUUCUAAGUCAAACAUACGACCAAAAUUUCACGUACAUUUUCCAGUGGCGACACAAUCGAACCAUCCUAAAACCGCGUCCAGUCAAGUGGGUCCACGCGAUGGACCCAAAAGUGGGCCCGAAAAUCGAGGGCGUGAAGGACCCAGGUCGAGCCACGGACGAGCCUACUGGGUCAAGUAGGCUCGAUAGUAUGAGCCCUGUGGGUCCGAGUCGUGGACCCCGGUGGUGGGCUCGCAUCGAGAUUCGAAACCGAAAGCGAGUGAAGGGUAGUUGUAAAACGGAACUGAGUGGGUUCCGCAGGUAUUGGGAUUUAAGUGAGGUUUUAACUAGGGGAAGAGUUUAUAACAUAGCCGAAGUUUUAAACAAUCAAAUUAGAGCCCCUCUCAAAAAUUUCAUUAGAAUAGAUAUUUUUUAUGUUUGAAUGUACUCAAAUUGAUCAUCUCGAUAUCAAGAUGCAUGAACAUGAGAAAAAAAAAAGAUUUUAAGUUAUAAAAAUAAUGUAUUUUAUAACACAUAUUUAGAUCAUCAAAUUUAAAGAUUUUAAAGUUUUUAUAAAUAUAUCGAUCUAUUUAUUUUUAAAAAUUUAAAUUUUAUAAAUAAAAUAAAAAUAUAUUUUAAAAAUAUUACAAAAAUUUCUAGUAUUAAAAUCACAUUUUCCGAUACUAUUUGAAGUAGGUUCUAAUUUUAUUGUUUAGAGCGUAAGCUCUAUACAAACUGCAUCCCUUUAACGAGUAGUCACGUUAAAAAAAAACAUCAUAUCUAUUUAUCUCUUUCUCUCUCUAGAAAAGCCAUCAUCUUUCACUGUCUAGAAACGAAUCAUCUCAUUCUCUCUCUAGAAAAGCCAUCAUCUUUCUCUCUCUAGAAAAGAAUCAUCUCUCUCUCACCUCGCUCGCUCAGUCUUCUCUUCAACCUUCGUUUGCUCUCUCUCUCUAGCUUCAUUCUCUGUUUACUUCUCUCUUUCUCUUACUCUUUCUCUCUCUAGCUUCAUUCCCUGUUUACUUCUCUUUUUCUCUUACUCUUUCUCUCUCUAGCUCUGUCUCCGACUCUUUUACCGCUAUCGCUUCACUCUCUCUCUGGUACUGAGAUUUAACAGCAGUCCGCUUUCUCCUCUCUCUCUCUAUAAAAGCCAUUUUCUUUCUCUCUCUUCCGCAGUCUCUUCGACCCUUUACUCUCUCUAUGACAUCAUUUUAUGUUCACUCUCUCUCUGCAUCUCUUACUCUUCUCUCUCUGGCUGACUCUCUCCCUUACAGCCAUCUCACUUUCUCUCUUACAGCCAUCUCACUUUCUCUCUCAUACCGAGAACACCAGCCGUCUCUCCUCUCUCUCUAGCUUUGUGUUCACUCUUGGCAAUCAGCUCUCUCAACAUUCUCUCUCCACUGAGCUCUCUCUCUUACCGAGAUAAACAACCAUCAUCACUCUCUCUAUUUCCUCAUUCUCUGUCUACACGCAAUAAUCUCUCUCUCUCUCUCUCUACUCUUGCAGAGCUUGCCUAUAUAGUACCGCCUGCACGUUUCUGGGGCUCCAGUUACAGGGAUGAUCAUUUCUGGUUAUCUUUGUGGCAUUUGAAGCCCCUUUGCUGGAGUAAUUGGCAAUAGUGCGAUUCUAGGGCUCAAUGCCUGGUUUUCUUCACCUGUAAGUUUGUGAUUGCUCUAUCCGUUCAUGCUUGGUGUUGUUCUGGAUUAUGUUUGUUUAAUCAUCAUAGUUUGUAGCUGCAGACUUAGGGAUUUAUAGCUAAAUCCUGUAUUUUUGUCUGUCUCGCGCUCAUUGAUCUUAAUAGAUUUGGGUAUUUAGCCAAUUUUCAUAUUUUUUGCUCAAUCAAUUUGGUCUGGGGACGAGUUAGGGUUACUAUGGUGGUUCUGCAAGUAACUUAUGUAAAUGGAUUUUUCAGGCAAUUGUUAUUCUUAUUUUGAUGGUUUAUUAUAUGUUUUUCGGUGUAAAGCAGUGUUUUUUUACAGCGUUGUCCCAUUAUUAGAGUAUUUUUCUGUAGCGUUUAACAUAAAUUUUAUUCAAAUUUUUGAGGUUCUUUAUCAAUGCAUUUGAUUGGUUAAUGAUGGGGUAUCUUGGUUUUUUUAUGAAAGUUAAGAUUGCCCAGUUUUAUUCUAAUUUUUUUGGGCUGAUUGAUUUCGUUUUGUUGAUUGGAAAGGCAUGAAUAAGGAAGUAGUUAAAUUUUCUUGAAAAAUUGGGGCAUUGGUGGGAUUCAGAGUCGCAUACUGUAUUACGAUCAUAGAACACUGAUUAUAUUUGAUAGAACACUGUUGUUUCUUAUCUUAUUCUCAUAAAAAAAAAAUUUAAUUGAUUUUUUUCAUUGAAGAGAUUUGAAUGAUGGUCUCGUUUCACAUUGUUCUUCAUUUAAUGUGGUUUUAUAAAUGGAGAAAUUGUUGGUUUAUGCAGUGUUUACUCUUUGUUACAUUUUCCUAAUAUUUAUGUAUUUUUAGUAACACAAUGCAUUACAGUUAGUCGCCGCCUAUUGAAGUGGAGUACUUAAUUUGUAAGGUAAUAGUACCUUACAUAAUAUUCCUCUCUUUUCUGUACUUUCUAAUAUUUGUUAAUUUCUAUUAGUGUAGCACACUGAAUUCAGUGGUUGUUGAUUGACGUGCGACUUAUUGUGACUUGAUGGUGAGAGUAAAGGCUGGCUUUCACGACGCAAUGCAAAAUGAUACAGUCAAAUCAGUAUCAGCUGAUGUGAAUUUUCUUUCAAAUCGUUUCCCAAACUAUAAAAUAGGGGCCAAUGAUAGCAUUGUUGAAUCAAAAGAAGGUUCAGAUGGGCCAUCUUUAAAGGAGAUAGUAGCUCAUGAAACUGCUCAGCUCCUUGAGCAACAAAAGCGACUCUCAGUCCGUGAUUUGGCUAGCAAGUUCGAGAAGGGGCUUGCAGCUGCAGCCAAGUUAUCUGAUGAGGUUUUUCCAUUUUAUUAAGCUUAUACUUGAUUGACUUCUGCUCCCUUUCGGAAAAUAUUUUAUUGAACUGAAAUCAAUUCAGAAGAAAAAAAAAUCCGCUGGUUUUUAUGUGAGUAAAUUAAAAUUUUCAAUAUCUAACUGAAGGAGCAAUUAACAAUGCUUGUUGGAUUUUCAGGCGAAAUUUAGAGAGACAGCUUCGCUCGAUAAACAGGUUCUCUUGAAGAAACUGCGAGAUGUAUUGGAAUCACUAAGAGGACGUGUGGCAGGUCGAAACAAGGAUGAUGUGGAAGAGGCCAUCUCUAUGGUUGGUUUUGUUUGCUAUAUCUUUCAUUUCAUUUGUCAGUGUUGUUGCCUUUUGCAUUCCUUUAUGUCUUUUCUCAGCUCACAUGAAUGUUACCGAUAACUCAUUUAUUUCCUCUUGCUUUCAAAAUGAGGAUAUGAGUAUCUCACGAGGAAGUAUAUGCACUCUGUGUGUAGGUUAAGCAGAAUCCAUUAUAUUAUAAUUCAUGCUUCAUGAAGUAUUGAAAUAGCUUUUUUACAGAUGCUGGCUUGUUUUACAGAUGCUGGCAGUGUUUUGAUGAGUGUUGAUGACAAACACAGUUUCCAGUCGUUUAUUGGAAAGUGAAUUAUCGAAAUUUCAGAUAAAAAACUUAUCAUAAUUAAAAAGUUCAGAAUUGUUAUAUUCAUUCUAUAGGAUAGUUGCAAAGAUUCUUGAGAAGAGCUAAGGCAUAGACAAAAUUUUCUAGAGGUUCAACUGAAGUGCUAGAUAAAGAUGGCAUUCUGAAUGAACUUUACUUCUGUUGAACUUUACUUCUGUUGAGUGUGAGGCAGAUUUGGUUCUUUGAAUGCAUUACAUUACUUGAUCUGUUAAGAGCUUAAGAUUAGAAGUGGUGAUUCCUUGGUUCUGUGGUUCUCGGGCUUUAUUAUAGAUAAUGUGUUAAUUGGCUUCCAGUAUUGCAGGCUGGAAUCUAGUUGUCAUUUAGCUUCUUUGCAUUCCUCGUAUUUCAUGGACCUUUAGGAAUGCCAUUGAAGUAUUUUUGGAGUCAUAUCUGGCACUGAAAAUUGUGAUAUAAUUUAUAAUCUAACUUGAGCUAUCUUUUUUGUUUUCUCUGUAUUUUCUUCACUAGGUACUUUGUGCUUUAUUGCAUCUAAUCAUCACAGCUUAUGUCCUUUUUAUGUAAUUGGAUUAUAUCUUAAGAUUGUUUCAAUAGAGACACUUCUUUACAGGUGGAAGCCCUUGCUGUCCAGUUGACUCAAAGGGAAGGAGAGUUACUUCAUGAAAAAUCAGAAGUUAAAAAGUUGGCAAGUUUUCUUAAGCAGGUAACAUGUCAAAUAGAUGCCUGGAUGCUGCUGGAAGAUAUAUAAAUACUGUAUCUACGCGUAAUUUGAUCUCUGCACUUGUCUAGAACCUUUAUUAAUUUAAUUAUAAUAAGAUUUAAUAUUACUUUUAUUUGUGAUUUUUUUUUAAAAUUUUUUUUUCCAUACUAAGAAGCAUUAUCUACUUUCUGACAGGCAUACUGUGCAGUUGACUGCUGGGUAUUUUUUUGUGUGAGGGUCCUCCAUGCACUAACAUUUGGUUUAUUUACUAUUACAUGUUACUCAAAAUUGAUUGAGCUGACAGUUAUUUCUUUCAAAAAGAGUGAGCUGACACUUGCAAACUUCCCAACGAAUGAGUCAUGUGGAGCAUAGAACAAAAAUCAUGUGUAGCACCCAGUUAUUGGGAAUUAUUUCAUCGAAAGUAAUAUUUUAAAAGGGUCGCCUGUAUUUGUUAGGUAAAACAAUAGAUCUAUCCGUAGAGUUGGUGGUGCCCUUGGGCCUACCAAAUUGAAGAUCUAAGGGCAUUGCAUCUCCAAGUACGCCCAGUUUGGCAGUUUCUGAAUGUUUUCUUCAAUCAAAGUUUAAAUGAUUCAGGACCUUUCUUAAUAUUUUCUCACUUUUUUUUUCCUUUUGUUAUAAGUAGUCCUUGUGGAAAUCCACUGCAUAGCAUAUUGAUUUGUCCAGUCAAUUAUUAAAGCUUAGUUUGCAAAACUUGGCUCCAGGCCCUACAAUAACAGUGUAUUGGAGUAGUAUAUGAAGACGAUACGGGUACCACUAUCAAGAAAGUUAAACAAUACUCAGUCCUGACAGUGGGAAGCAAAUGAACAAUAUGGUCAACAUGGUACCAAAAUAAAAAAAGAAGCCAAAGAUGAGGAAAAAGCCGUGAAAUGGAUAUCCUUUGAAGAAAUAUUUGCAAAGGAAUGAGUAGCAGAAAUGGCAACAAAACAUGAAUGGAGGAAUUGAGGGCAGAAUUGCCUGCGAUAAAUAAAAUGUAAAUCAGUAUUACGUCAUUAAAUUCUUUAAUUUAGAGUACUGAGUCAGGAUUCAUGACAGGAAUUCUUGUAUUCAUGCUCACAGCUGGAUUAUGAACCAAUAGAUUUUAUAAUCUCUUGCCUAAUGUAAACACUUGUUAAUAUUUUAUUACGAUAGGCAGGGUUCCCAUCCAAAUCUCCAUUAGCCUAGCUAAAAAGAAGAGUUACUUCUACAUAUAAUAACGUAUUCCUCUUUUAAUAUUUUCUGUGUUGACUUUUAAGUCUUCCUGAGUUGUUCAUUUUGGUUCUCUAUUAAUGUGAAUUCCUUGUAGUUUGAGUGUAAUCAAGCUUGGAUUUUUGAAUGUGUACUUAAAAUCAUUUAAUGCUUCUCCUUAUGCAUACAGGCUUCUGAGGAUGCCAAGCGAAUGGUUGAAGAAGCAAGAGCUUUUGCACAAGCUGAAAUUGAGAAGGCUAGAGCAUCAGUCCAGAUAGUUGAGCAGGCCUUUGAAGAACAAGAAAACAUUUCCAGAUCUUCUGACAAGCAAGUGAGUUAUUUUGUUUGAAGUUUGCUUGAUUUUUUUGUCCCUGUUUUAUUUUCUUCUCUAAGAACGAAGUUUCUGAAAAUUUAUGUUUUUUUUUUUUGGCUUUCUUUUUAGCAUCCAUGAAUGAUUUAGUAAUGGCACAAUUCAGGUAUUUGAACUUAUACCCUAUUGUCUGUCUUACUCUCCAUGUCCAAAAGUUCUGUGCUUCACUCGCAAUUUCUGCUUCCUCUCACCCUUCGAUGAUUUUAUGAGUUUGUUAUACUUCCAUCUUUUCUUGCUUUGCUGCUUCUAUCCUCAUAUGCUCCUGUAAUUUCAAUCCCCAAAGUGCUAAGAAGGGUUCUGAGUUUCUAUUUGAAGUAAUACAACUUCUGAUUCUUGAAUAAUGUAACUUUCUUGCAUCUGUUUCCAUUUUAUUUUCAUAGCUCCCACAAUCUUUCUCUAUCUCUUUGCUGCCUCUAUCUCUGAGAUUGAACUAUCCCUCCCCACUGAGAGGCUUUGCUUCAUGAAGUUCCGUGUUCAUUCCCCACUGAGAGGCUUUGCUUCAUGAAGUUCCGUGUUCAUUCUCUUAUCCUGGUUAUCCCUCCUUUUUGAUUCCUCCCCGUGAAAGCUGCUAUAUCAAUGUUUACAAUGAAUCAAAUGAAUAUUUCAUAGUAUAUUUUUUGUAUCAUGUUAGUUUUUUAAGAAUAUAAUUUUGUCCUCUUUGACUAAGUAGGAACUGUGACAGUUUUUAUAUGUAUCCAUUUUAAAUGUGUAGACUGUUUUUCUGUCAAUUAUAAUGGAUAUUUAUUCUGUUUAUGGUGGUAUUGUUGUCAACACUGUUAGGAUUUGGAUGAGUUAAUGAAGGAAGUUCAAGAAGCUAGAAGAAUAAAGAUGUUGCAUCAACCUAGUAAGGUAUGCUAGAGACUUUGACAUUCUUUGUAAUUAUUGGAAAGAUAGUAACGUUUUUGUUUGAAAUUUUUUGUUUGGAAGUAACCAUAAUAACACCGUUUAGAAACUGCCUCUUUGUAUACAAAUUUCUUGUUAACCAUAUUUAUGAAGUUGAAUGAUCCAUUAUUCUAGUGUCAUUUGAUGAAGUUAAUUGUUAUUUCCGAGCCGCUUGAUGUUUCUCAUUCUAAUCUAGAAGCUUAUUUUCUAAGCAAUAAUGAGUAAAGGUGAAAAGGAAUGCAAAUUCUAGAGGUCUACUCCAAGCAUAAACGAGUUACGAGUCAAUGACCCAAGAAUCUCUAGCUAAACAUGAAGCAUGCUCUGACCAUCUUCGGCUAUGUACUUGAUUUUUUUGUCAAAUUUGCCACGCUGUUGCUUUAGGGCCUGUUUGGAGGACAAUUUUAUCUGGAAUAUAUUAUCUUAUUUGAGAUUAAUAAACUCUAGAUAAUGUUAUUUUGUUAGAUAUUUGGUACGCAUCUUGUAUUAUGUAUAAUAGCAUUUAAACAUUUAACGUUUCAGUGAUUCUAGCUAUUUUUAGCUAUGUUGGUAAAAAAAUUUGAUGUUCAGCAAAUUACCUUGAAUAAAGUAAAAACACUUUUAAAAAAGAUAAAAAUUAUAUGUCAAACUGCCUAUAAGUUUAUCUCAGAUAACUUCAUGGUGGACACAGCCAAACAAUAAAUAAUUUGUUAUCGGGAUUAACUUUAUUGAAACGGUGAAUUAUCAAGGAUAACUAGUACAUCUAAACAGGCCCUUAAUAUACAACAAAUGUAUUGAAUGACGCAUUUCGCAACAAAAGUUUUUUCCAAGGAUAUUCUCUGUUGUCAGUCAGCUAUGAAAACAACAUUGUGCACUAUAUAUAUGUGUUUGAUAACAUUCGAGUAUUUCUCGGUAAUCAAGUGGACUGAGUAAUAGGAUGAAUAUAGAGGAUGUCUCAACUGCUCCAAAUUAUUUACAAAGUUGAUUUGUUGGUGAUGUAGUGGGCUGCCAUAACUCAAAUUGAUAAUUGGGGAAGUCUGUAUGUGCUCUAUUUGUUGGCAGGUCUGAAGUUCUAUAUUGUUUUUCCAAGAUAUGAUCUUUCUAUAUCUUUGACUUUUCUUUUCGGAUUUUAAAUGUUUAAUACUUGUUGCUUGCAGUUUACUAGUUCGGCAUGAAGGAACUUAUAAUUUAGUCUUACUGGCUACAUUUUGUCACUGUUAAUUAGUUUGUUUUCCUACCCCUAUUUUCAUAUUGGGCAAACUUCAAAUAAAUUCUAUUUCCAUUGCAAUCAGGUUAUGGAUAUGGAGCACGAACUUCAAGCCUUAAGGAUUCAACUUGCCGAAAAGUCCAAAUACUCGCUCCAGCUUCGGAAAGAGGUUGCAUUUAUAUAUGAAAUUUUGAGAUUGCUGAUAAAACAUUACCUAGUAGUGUUGUUCGCCUAUUUUUUGGUUGGUCCAUGACUAGCUUGACAAUUACCUCACUUUUGACUGUGGGAUUUUCCACUUUUCUGCUUUGCAUUCGUCUAUAUAAUGAAUUUAAUAUGCUAGUAGAUGGCUCAUGGCGAUCUUUCUUGUUUCAUGCCUUAGUUUAACAAAUUUUUGUCGCUUUGAUUACACAAUUGUUUAUGUUGUUAUGAUUGAACAAAAGACUAUGUGUCUUCAUAACACGCUUGCUCUGCUACUUGUGGUAAAUUCUCUUAUUGUAGACGUUUGUAAUUCAUGGAAGAUGGCCUUAGUGAAUGGAUUUCUUAGAUUCACCUUAUAACAUUAUUAAGUUAUGCACAACUUUAUGGCUGCUCAUUGAUUCAAGAAGUGUAAAUAAAUGAUCUUAAUAUCAAAGUUGGAGUUCUAAUAUUAGGUUGAAACUCUUGCCAGGGAAGUCUGUAAGGAGACCUGUUAGGUUGGUUUCUUAAAACUUUUAUUCUCAUUGACAUAUUUAUUCCUCCUGUGAAUUUUGAGAAGAGUAGAAUGUCAUAUAUAAAGUAUCACAUAGAGAGUCAUGAACUCUUAAGUAGAUAAUACUUGUAGUAGCGGGAAGGAUGUAUUGAGUUUUUUUUUUUUUUGUUGAGUUUUUAUUCUGAGCUUUUGAGAGUUAUUUUCAGUUUCCCACCCAUUUUGAUGGAGGUUUGGGAUGUUAAUGUACAAAACUGGGGUGCUAAAAUUAAUUGUAUUUUUACAUAUUGAUUUUGCUAAAUUUAUUUAUUUUAAUAAAAGUCAUUAUCUAGUAUGUUUAGAAACUCCUGUCGAAUCUUUCAAUAAGUAUACUUGUGAAGAAAUAGGGACCUCUAUCUGCAUUCUCCAUGAGUUUGCAUUAAACAAACUACAUAAAUGACAUCUUCUGAAAUUAUUAUUAUUUUUUGUUAGAAUUCAUAUUCUAUAUGCUUGAUUCUUUUUCGAGUUUCACUAACCACUUAGUUCAUUUAGCAUUUUCUUAUCUUUAUUUUUUUUAGAAAUUUCUCGUCUUUCUGAAAACUGAAUAAACUUGAGCUUUUUUGCUUUUCCAGUUGGUAAUGAGCAAACGGCUCGAGGAAGGUGACUCCAAACUGUGUGAAUUGGAUGGUGAUGAAUCUUUAGGUUCCUAUUUGCGGAUAGUUCCUAAUGUGAAUACUACUCUAGACAUCUCUAGAUGUACCAUUCAGUGGUUCCGUAUAUCAGCUGAAAGAAGUAAAAGGGAAAGGAUAUCAGGUAAUUGAUUUUGAUUUCCAAUCAACAAUUAUCUUCUGUAUUUUGGUUUCUACAUUAAUGGGGUUUAUGCAUCUAACUAGUGGAAUAUUUGGGGGGUUCUUCUAGGAGUGGGUUUGAUCUGAUAUGCGUUUCUAUUCUUUGACUAUAAACAUGCUUACUUACAAGUUGAGUUUUUGAGCAUUUCUCUUGUGCGCACGCAUGAGCAGUUUAAUAACAAAGCUUUUCGCCCCUCCUCUACUUCGCCUGUCGACUCCUGAAAGCUUUGUUCUUAUGCAGUGCGGCUAGAACCCCUCCCUCUGUUUCUCCUUUUUUUUCUGAGCGAUAUAACACAUCCCUCCCUCUGUUUCUUCUUUCUUGUGCUUCUGGUUCUUAUGCUCCUUCGACCUUCAUAUAUCUUCUUUUGUUUCCUCGUAUGUCUCUCUGGAGUACCAUUUGUGCCUCCUCAAAGUAUCUAUCCUUGCCUGUCUCUACCAUAAAGUUGUCCUGCUCUGAAGCAAUUAUCAUCUCCACUCUGUAAAGAGAGAUGUAGGUCCAAAAUGACAUGGUUGGAAGUUGUGAGAAAAGAUGUGGGGACUUAUGGCCUCACUGAGGUUAUGAUCCUUGAUAGAGCAGAAUGGCAGACCAAGAUUCGUAUAGCCGACCUCAAAUAGUUGGGAAAAGACUCUGAUGAUGAUGACUCUAUAAAUAGAGAGUGAUAUUCAUAUUCUUCAACACAAUUUGGUGUUGUCCUCUUGUUCUCUCUUCUCACCUUCUCCUCUAGAGCAACAUUGACCCUGAUAGAACACCUUUUCAAGGCUAACAAGUUGAAUCUGGGAUAGAUUCAUGAGAGUACAACCAGCUAUAAAUUUCUACUAUUUACUGAGCUCUAGGGAGAGUACCAGGACGUUGAUGCUGUCAGGAACUGACCAAUGCUGGGUUCCUUUUGUUUGGCUGUAAUGUGGACAGGACAUGGACAAAUGGUUCCAAAUCCUAAAGCCAUUAAGAAGGGAUCUUCUGCUGAUGUUGAAUGUGUCCAAGUAAAAGAACUUGCACAUAAGAAAGUCACCUGAUGCCAACCUCAAUACGCACCAAGUUUAUUCAUGAAUUUAAUAUGUGGUAGUUAAAUUGAAAAUUCAAAGUCUGGUUAUAGAAACAAAAUUCUAAACUGGUGUUAAACUUUUGCAAUAUUCUAAAGUCGAUAUGUUUUUUUGUAAUUUAUUUUCCUUUUUUGCUGGACUAUUAUGACUUUCUUUUUCAUGAAUAGACCAUUCUAUAGCUACAUUGGCUAUGUUGCCUACACAUUUGACAUGGACUAUUGUGUCUGGUACUUGUUGAAAGCAGCAUUUUAAAAAUCUAGGCUCGGGUUCUGAUUCACAAGGGUCUCAAGCCCGAGUCAGACUCUAUCGAGUUGGACUGGCUGACUCGUCUGGGUUUCUAUAAAAAUGAUUAUAAGACCCAGGUAAAACUUGCCUUUCUUUUUUGCAAUAGUCAUUUGGACCUAGCACUUGGCAUCCUGCCAGGUCCAAAUGACUUGUGCUGAGUGCAAGCCCGAGUUGGCGAACUUUUAUGUCUGGUUGAAAGUGUCUAGUACUUCAGCAGACAUGUGCAUGUGAGUUUUAUUUUUAAUUUAUUAAAAAUAAGGGAAAUUUAUCAAAUUAAUGAUAAAGGAUUAGCAAUUUAAUACCUUGCCUAUGUCCUUUGAUUUAAUUUCAAAAUUCCAUAAAAACACGCAUGGUUUGGAGUUGGAAUUGUUGCAAAUUGGUAAAAUGUCGCAUACUUUUUAUCUCUUAUGGGUAUUUUCAAAAAUUUCCCAGAAAAUAAAAAUGGGUUCAAACCCCAUCCUUGUGCUCUAUAUAAUUGUUUUAUGUCCCCAUGUCGUGAAGUGUCGAUAUGUGUCGACACGUGAUGUGGCUUUAAAAAUGAGGUGUCUAGGUAGUAUGGUAUGAUGGUACUUGGGAAGUUAUAAAGUGAUAUAUUUAGGGUUUAAACUUGGGUGAAAAUAUUUAGGAGACCUGUGAAGAUGGGUGAGUUCUUCAAUGGUGGGGCCCAUAUAUCUUGUGUUGAUGUUUUUGAUUUGCAUGGUGCCAAGUUAUUACAUUGAACUUUGGGAGUAGAUGUUUCAAAGAUUGUUUUAUUUCUGACCUUAUGCUUUUUGAAUAUAGGGUGAUUAUGCCUACCUUGUCUUGUCUCAAUCUUUUUGCUAAUUUAUAUCCUUACAUUUGAUUCCCAGGUGCCACAAAAUCAGUGUACGCUCCAGAACCUUUUGAUGUUGGUCGAUAUUUACAAGCCGAAAUCGUUGCAGAUGGUGAAAAGUUAUUAGUGACAACUACUGGUCCUAUAGAACCUGGUUUCCUUCUAACCUAUUUUUCUUAUUUUUCUUUCUUUUUUUUUUCCUUGUGGAUCAAUCCAUAUUUCAAGUGGGAAGAUGUGAUUAUUUUUUAAUUUAUGGUUUUAGAAUGUGCUGUAAUUUAUUAUCAAAUGCCGAUUUUAACCACAAUUACCAUGUGGUAUUUUGUUUUCUGGACUUCGAUUGUUUUAAACCUUGCUGCUAGUGUGACAUUCCUGCUCUACAAAUAUGACUCUGUGACUCUUUUAUCUUCCCAUUUAAAAUCACAUGAUGCAGUUCUGAGCAUUUGAGCUUUGGGGAAGGUAAUUCCUAAUUACAUUUGCAUUCUUAGCUCCUAAACUAUCCAACAUAACUUAAAGGCAUUCUUUUUAUGUUUUAUUUGGAUUAACUAAACUUUAUUAUAUUGUUUUCCUGCUCUACAAAUAUGUUUAUGUGACUCUUUUGUCUUUCUAGUUUAAUAUCACAUGAUGUAGUUCGGAGUAUUCAAGUUUUGGGCGAGGUAAUUCCUAAUUAAAUUUAAUAAGAUGAGGAAAAGUAGAAUUAGGUGGGCCGGCCAUGUACAAUGUAGGCCUAAUACAGCGUCGGUUAGGAGGUUCGAUUUGGUUCAAGUAGGAGGCUCUAAAAGGGCAAGGGGAAGGCCCAAUGGGACAUGGAUAGAAGUAGUGCGAAAAAAUAUAAUGACUUGUGGUCUUACUGAGGGUAUAUCCCUUGAUAGAAAAGAAUGGAGGAACAUGAUUCGUGUAGCUGACCCCAAUUCAUUGGGAUAAGACUUGGAUGAUGAUGAUGCUGAUGAUGAUGUUAUUCCUAAUUAAAUUUACAUUUUUAACUCCUAAACUAUCCAACAUAACAAGUGUAAUUUUUAUAUAUUUUUUGGAUUGGACUAAAUUGUAUUCCAUUGGUAAGUAUGAAGUAAAUGUAAAGCUUUAAAGUAUUUCCUAUUAAAAUGUAUCAUAUUUGUGGGGUUCAGGCUCUUGGCUUGAUGGUCAGGGCCUCUGAGCACUGCAGCAAAAUGCCCUUGGUCUGACAAUUACCUAACCUAGCCCCCACAAGGGAGGGAGGGAGGUAUAGAAUUCUCAAGAACCAGGAUCUUUAAGUUAAAUUACAAUUGCAAAAUGAUGUAGCUUAGUAAACUGUAUAAUAGAGCCUAGUUUGUAAAACCAGCAGGAUCUUAAAAAUUAAAUGACAAUUGCAAAAUGAUCUAAGACACCUUAAACUUUAUGAUAGAGCCUAGUUUACAAACCCAAUAUGGUCUUGAAAGUCAAAUGAGGCCUAGAAGUCGUUGUUUCUGAUUCAGUUGGUUCAGCUGGUUCAGGUCAUGGAACGACAUUACCCGAGGGGCUCAUUUAUUUGGGUUUAAGUUUUUGGGUACGCAAACAAUGUGAUAUAUCGUGCAUAACUGUCUGUACUUGAUAUGAUUAUGCUUUUUAUUUGUUUUCUUCCUGUUAAAUUUCUCCAUGCUAUAUCUUCACGUAAACUUGUUACUAGUAUGUGUCAGUGGCCUUUGCUGCAUGGUAGAGUACCAAAUGUCUUUUUUCUCUAAAGUGACAAACUGUGUCCAUGUCAGUUAAGUCAUCAUUUCUUAUUGACUUUUAUUGGAUUACCUUUUUAUUAAGUAAAGAAUAUAUGAAAAUAAAAUAUGCACGUACUGAUUUUUACACAAUUUCUUUACAGCCCCAGGCUUGGGAAACUAUGUGGAGGCACUUGUUAGAAAACCCGACACUGAAUUCAAUGUACGAUCAGUUUCAUUGGGCUUCUUUACUGCAAAAAGCUGAUAUUCAUUGAGCGUUGUUAAUGCCUUCAAAUAUUCUAUUAUUGUUUUGGCAAAUUAUUUGGAGCACCAUGAAAAUCACAAUUGUAAAUAAUUUAAGGGAAACUUAUCAAAAUACCCAUGAGAGAUAAGGUAUUUAACAUACUGCCUAUUUGUAACCAUUCCAAGCUAAGACUCUGUACUUUUGUGGGUAUUUUGAAAUUAAAUCAAAAGAUAUGGGUAAGGAGUUAAAUUACUCAUCUCUUAUUGACAAAUUGCCCUAAUUUUAAUCAUCCUAUGGUUUUGAUAUGGCAGUCUACAGGCAGAAUUGGAACAACAAAAUUAUUAACUUGUAUUGGUUGGUUAAUAUUAUUCACCUUUCUUUUAAUUGGAUAAUGUUUUUUUCAUUGCCUAGGUCAACAUGAGUUUUUUUUUUUUUUUUUUCAGGACGUGAUACUCGUAUAAAAUUUCUCUUAAAUCCAAGCACAUGUUUUCACUUAAUUUUCCUAUGUGGUUCUAUGUACUUUUUGCUUUGGUUUGCAGGUCGUUCUUCAGAUGAAUGGAGUGGAUCAUCCAUCUCACUCUCUUCAUGUGUUUCAUGUGGGAAAGAUGAGGAUCAAACUUCGCAAGGGAAGGAUAACAAAGGCAAAAGAGCCUUACUCCUCGUCAAUGCAGGUUGCUUUCUUUCUUUCUUUUAAAUCUUGUAUGGGAAUCAGAUAUUGAACUCUGAUAAUUGCAAAAUUUUGUAAUUGGGCAAACGGAAAUCAUACCAGCUGCAAUUGCAACACUCAAUCACUUGGAUUAUGUUAGGAUUUCUAUGUGUUGGAACCCACAACGGCAAAGAGAUCUUUGAUCUCAAUGAAUAUUUGUGACCAAUUUAUUUUCAUAGAUUUAUGUGAUGUGCGUGUAUUGUUGAACUACACAGAUUGGUGCUUAUGCUCAAAAUAUAUAAGAUAGGGUCAUAAGGGUAACAUUAUGUGUAUGUAAUGAGGGCGGUAUCUAAAAGAUAUACUAGGUCCAAUACAGUACAGGAAAACUAGUGAGAUCCACAAGGACAGGAGAUAACCUGUUGGUAUUUUCAACUGUCCAUUCUUCCUUUCUGCUCUCCAUCACUGUCCAUAAUUUCCAAUGGCCAUUUCCCUCUCUGUUCACGCGCCACCCUGCCAGAUGUUUGGAGAUUAACAUGUGAGGUAAAUCUCCCUCUGGGCCCUACCCAGUUAAUCUGCAACCAUCCAACAGAGGGAACUGAUCGUGGAUUUAGACUAAGAUUGCUUUGUACCUUAGUCUAAUACAAUUUACUUUUAAUCUCUUGUAUGGAGUUUUUUUUAUCACCAAGUAUUGCUUUGAGUCAUUGAAAUUGAAUGGCUUUCUUUUUAUGGAGUUCUUUUGAAUUGGGAGAUACGUACAUGUAUUAUCAUGUCAUAUGAUGGCUGCAAAUGUCUAAUAAGUUGUGCUGUGGUUUGUGAAAUUGUCUUUUAGUUAUGUCUUUUAUCUAAUGCCACAAAUGCAUGUAAAAUUCACCGAGUUCUGUUAUAUAUUCCUGUUUCUGUUAUUAUUUGUGAAAUUUACGCAUGUUGUGCACCAGUAUGGAUAUGCAGCUCAUAAAUGCCUGUUCUGUGCUCAGUAGCUUAAAUAUUUGUAUACGAUCUAUUCUCUCUUUCUCUCUCUCUCUCUCUCUCUCGCUCUCUCUCUCUCUAUCUAUUUUAUAAUGGCUCCAUUGAUUACAUCUCCCUCUAUCGCUGGUUUUGAUAUGCUUGCUGUUGUAUUUGUUAGUAUUGAUUAGGAGUUUAGGACAAGGAAAACACAUUCAUUUAACCCACCCUUCAUUUGGCUUGUGAAAAAUUGCAGUUGUGUGGGUUGAGAGGUGGUGGAAAUGCUGCUGCUCAAGCGUUGUUUUGGCAACCAAAGAAAGGAGUAUCUUUUACAUUGGCAUUCGAAUCAGAGAGAGAACGAAAUGCAGCCAUCAUGCUUGCCAGGAGAUUUGCCUUUGAUUGUAAUGUAAUACCUUCAUGUCUUUUCAGAAAUUCUCUCAAGAAAGUAUUCCAUGGUCCAAUGGACUAUGGUCUAUGUAUAUACUUAAGCUACAUGAACCAUUUCUUUGUGCUGACCGAUGGCUAGAGAUUAACAGGAUCCAAGUGAAUCCCUCUUGGUAACCCAUCUAGUUAAUCCACAACCAUUGGUCAGUGGGAGUGGUGGGUGGUUACAGCCUCAGAGGACAUGUGCCAUAGUCCGUUUGACUAUGGCAUACUUUCCCUUUUCUCUUUGAUUUUUUUAUUUUUAUUUUAUUUUAUUUUUCUAAUCUUUUUCCUUUUCAAAGUAUAUGACAGUAUAUUUUCUCCAAUGUUUUAAAACUUGGCUUGGGCCCCGGAUUGGUUCCUAGCCCUAGCCGAGUUACUCAUGCGAGUAUGAAUAGACUUGCCCGAGUAGGGCGCAUUCCUAAAAAGGCUAUAAAUUUGAAAACAAAUUUUUAGAAAUAAAAAAUAGUAAAAACCAAAGUAAACCAUAAAGAGCACCAGAAGUCUAAAAAUAAUGAAAAAUUAUAAAAGAUGGAAUUUGGAAAGAAAAAAAAAAUUGUAGCUGGAAAUAAUUCAGGAAAAUUCAAGAAAAGGGGAAAAAUACCAAAUAAAGCAAAUGGUAAAUAAAAGUUUGUAAAUCAUCGUUAAAAUCAUUAAAAUUAUGCAGUAACAUGUCCACACAUUGGUUUAUUGAGUCGAGUCGGAGUCCAAGUUACUCGGUUGAGUUCUUGAACAGCGAUUUUUUCUUUGUAGUCAUAAUGGAUAUGGAUAAGUUCACAUAUACCACAACAAAAUUGUCAUAUCCUGAAAAAUGACCAUCCAUUUUGGUUUGGCCAGUAGGCAUAAUUAUAAAUCAUUGUUUUAAAAUUUAGAGGGGAAAAAAAAUGUAGAACGUAGCAGACCUGUCAAAUACAAAUUUUACUCAUCUUCUUAUAUAUAAAAACAAGUUUUCUUCAAAAUAAUCAAUGAAACAAAGAAAGAAAGAAAUAAAUAAAUAAAUAAAAUUGUAUUUACAUUUUAAGGAAAGACUGCAAACUAAGAAAUGGUAGAGAUUUUCAUUAUUAGCCUUCUGUAAUCUUCCCUUCCCUCUUUGAUGAAAAAACAAAAUCAAAUUGGGCAAUUGAGGAACUGGUAAAUUUGACUGAUUUAGAGAUUAAAUACUCUUUUUUUAUUUUCUGUUUUGUUUGCAGAUCAUGCUUGCCGGACCAGAUGACCGAGCUCCCCUCGGAACAUAACUAACAUGCAUAAUUACCAUGUCUUAUUGUAAUGUUGUAAGUAAUAUUAAUGUCAUAUUUGUUUCUCUUCUUUUUGCUUGUAGCUUGGUGUUUAACUGUAAGAAAGAGAAUGGGAGUUUGUUGUGUAAUUAGAGGGCUUGCCUCUUGAAAUCAAGGCAUCCUUUUUAUUUGCCUUUGUAUGUGGUAUUAGGGGAAGUUGAUUAGAGUAGGCAUUGGUAAAAUGGUUGAUUUUUACCAUGUUUCUAGUGUUUCAAUUGACUGGCCUAAGGUGGCUCUUUGUAUUUAAGGAUAUAUGUAAGAAAUAUUAAUGUUAUGGUGUUAUUGUCUUCUUGUUUGCAGUAGUAAUAAUGCAUUGCAUUGUGGAAGAAUACGCUCACAAUUGUUGGUUUGUCAUUGUUUUUCACUCCUUGAAACAGAAUUGAGGGUCACAAGUUGGGGGGAGAGAGAGAGAGACAGCACAAUUGUUGGUUUGUCAUUGUUUUUCACUCUUUAAAAUACAGAGAGAGAGAGAGAGAGAGAGCGGUUGUUGGUAUGUCAUUGCUUUUCACCCCUUAACAGAAAUUGUCAUAAGCUGAUGGAAGAAAAAGAGAGAGAGAGCAAACAAAUUGUUGAUGUGAUGAAUUGUCACAGGAGAGAGAGAGAGAGAGAGAGAGAGAGAGAGAGAGAGAGAGAGAGAGNNNNNNNNNNNNNNNNNNNNNNNNNNNNNNNNNNNNNNNNNNNNNNNNNNNNNNNNNNNNNNNNNNNNNNNNNNNNNNNNNNNNNNNNNNNNNNNNNNNNNNNNNNNNNNNNNNNNNNNNNNNNNNNNNNNNNNNNNNNNNNNNNNNNNNNNNNNNNNNNNNNNNNNNNNNNNNNNNNNNNNNNNNNNNNNNNNNNNNNNNNNNNNNNNNNNNNNNNNNNNNNNNNNNNNNNNNNNNNNNNNNNNNNNNNNNNNNNNNNNNNNNNNNNNNNNNNNNNNNNNNNNNNNNNNNNNNNNNNNNNNNNNNNNNNNNNNNNNNNNNNNNNNNNNNNNNNNNNNNNNNNNNNNNNNNNNNNNNNNNNNNNNNNNNNNNNNNNNNNNNNNNNNNNNNNNNNNNNNNNNNNNNNNNNNNNNNNNNNNNNNNNNNNNNNNNNNNNNNNNNNNNNNNNNNNNNNNNNNNNNNNNNNNNNNNNNNNNNNNNNNNNNNNNNNNNNNNNNNNNNNNNNNNNNNNNNNNNNNNNNNNNNNNNNNNNNNNNNNNNNNNNNNNNNNNNNNNNNNNNNNNNNNNNNNNNNNNNNNNNNNNNNNNNNNNNNNNNNNNNNNNNNNNNNNNNNNNNNNNNNNNNNNNNNNNNNNNNNNNNNNNNNNNNNNNNNNNNNNNNNNNNNNNNNNNNNNNNNNNNNNNNNNNNNNNNNNNNNNNNNNNNNNNNNNNNNNNNNNNNNNNNNNNNNNNNNNNNNNNNNNNNNNNNNNNNNNNNNNNNNNNNNNNNNNNNNNNNNNNNNNNNNNNNNNNNNNNNNNNNNNNNNNNNNNNNNNNNNNNNNNNNNNNNNNNNNNNNNNNNNNNNNNNNNNNNNNNNNNNNNGGGGGCGGGCGUAGAGAGAGAAAGAGCUGGAAAUGUAUGCUAUUAUUGGGCGACUUCAAAGUUGUUUGAUUCUUAUAUCCUUAUCAUACGAGAUGCAUGUCGAGGCUGAUGCCUAAUCUAAUUAUCCAAUUAUGGGAAAGUUAUCAUUUGCAGGAUGACUAAGUUCUUUUGGGAAUAAGACCCACCAACACUUUUAGAAAACUAUUAACGUUGUCUAAGUCAACCAAUUUAUCAACAAAGUCGUAUGAUGAUUUUGUUAGAGUGGUUUUUCAAUGAGUGUUAUUAAGGAUGCCUAUAAUACGUUUUGGAAUCUUGAACAAGCAAUGUAGUUAUGGGUCAAGUUUUCAAAAUACCCUAAAUUUUUUUAGGUUAAAUUAGAAAUGGGUGGGGGCAGUUUUUAUCAUUUGAUUUGGCCAAUUGGGUCACUUGAGUCGAAUGUCGUUUUUAAAAUACCCUAAUUUUUUUUAGCUUAAAGUAGGAAUGGGUGGGGGCAGUUUUUGUCGUUUGAGUUCGCUAAUUGGGCCACUUGAGUCAAAUGUCAUAAAUAUACUUAAUUUUGAACUUAAAACCUAAAAUGAUCUAGUAAUUAUUGAUCAAAUUCAUUUUUGGUGGCAAUGGACCCAGACCCGACCUAAGACCUACCGGGUAUACCCGAUUGGAUCCGGGUAUGGGUCCAACAUUUGGACCCGGCAGGUCGGGUUCGGGUCCAAAACCUAGACUUAAACACUAUUCUGGGUCUGGGUCUGAUUAGACUCGACCUCUACUCGUAAACUGUUGGCGAUAAAAUACUUCAAGCCCUAUUCAUUUGGGUGUAUUAAGGAUCGUAUACAAUAAAAACUCAGAAUCAUAUUUAGCUAUUAAAUGACAAAUAAGACGCUUGAAAUCUAAUGAUAGGUGAUUGUAGCCAUUUGUCAAUAAUUUGGGUAUAUGAUGGUAAAGUAAAAGAAAAAAAAGAAGAAGCUCAUAAUGAGCGUGGCAAUGGACCCACCUAGACCCAAGACCCAACGGGAUUGACUCAAGACCCAACGGGAUUAACAUUGGACCCGGCGGGUAUCGAUAUGGGUCCAACUUUUGGACCUGAUGGAUCGGGUCCAGGUCCAAAACUUGGAUCCAAAUACAUUCGGAUCUGGGUUUAGGUCCAGCUGGACCUGACUCAUACCCGAAACCCAACAAGCAAUAAUGUUAUAUCACUUAGGCUUACCCCUGGGGCUAAAUAGCCGGCCCUACUACUUCAAGAUUCUAAUUCUAAAACAAUGACAUUUUGGGUUCUUAAUAACAAAAAUAGUUGAGGUAUUACGAUAAAACAAUCGUUUCCAAGUAACCACUUUAUUGAUAGCCGGUUGAUUUGACUGCGUUUUUGAUAUGGAAGCUGGGCACCUAAAUAUACGGUCCAAAAAGUGCAAAGCUUCCAUCUUAAUUGUGGAUGCAAGGUGUUUCAUCUAAUAAGAAUGGAAAUUAAUGGUUUUAAAUGUUUUUUUUUUAAUAUUANNNNNNNNNNNNNNNNNNNNUCUCAAAAAUAAAUUUAGUAAUAAUAGGCCUACAGUUCUACAUAUGCAGGCAAGGCCAUAUGCGGGCUAGGCUGCAUAGAAACCGGGCCGAUAUGAUAGUUUGAUUUUAGGGAAAAUUAUGUAUAUCCGUUGUAGUUUAUGUUGUUAUUAAAAUACCAAAUAGUUUUCGUUAUUACUGGAAUGUCCGUUUUUUACUUCAUAGCAAAAAAAUUUUAAAAAAGACUUUUUUACCCUUUUUUCGGUUUUUGAACAACCAAAAAUAGGUAGAAGCUUGGAAUUUGCAUUUUUAUUUUCGGUUGUGAAACAACAAAAAAUGUCUUGUCUUUGGUUGUUGAACAACUGAAAAUAGGACUGCAUAUUCCAGAAGCUUGUUGGAAUAUGCAAUCUUAUUUUCGGUUGUUCAACAUCCGAAUAUACCUUAUUUUCGGUUGUUCAACAUCUGAAUAUGCCCUAUUUUCGGUUGUUCAACAUCCGAAAAUAUCAUAUGAACAACAAAAAAUAAGACAAAACCUUGGAAUUUGCAUUCUUAUUUUUGGUUGUUCAAUAACUGAAAAUAGGACAUUUUUUUUAUGUUGAACAACCGAAAAUAGGACAUUUUCGGAUGUUGAAUAACCGAAAAUAGGACAAUUUCGGAUGUUGAACAACCGAAAAUAUAACUGCGUAUUCCAGAAGCUUAAACGAGCCCCUUUAUUUUCGGUUGUUCAAGAAAUAAAAUUAGCUUAUUUAGGGUUUUGAACAACCGAAAAUCUAACCAUUUUCGGUUGUUAAAAAAUCGAAAAGGGUAAAAAAGGCUGUUUUAAAAUUUUUAGUUAUGAAGUUAAAAAAAUCGACAUUAUAGUAAUAACAAAAACUAUUUGGUAUUUUGGUUAUAACGGAUAUAUAUAUAUAUAUAUAUAUAUAAUUUCCCCUUGAUUUUUAUACUCAAUCCCUUUUAUCAAACUUUUUUAUUUUAUCCAAAGUUGCACCUUGAAGGUAUGACGUUUAAAUUUUUUAUUCAUAAUCAUACUUCAAACCUUGGUCUAAAGUUUAAAGUUUUUUUUACUCAUAAUCUCAAUUUAGAGGUUGAAAGUCUAAAGUUUUUCCGAAAAUUAAUUCCAGACCUUCAAGUUUUGGUCCGAAGUUGAUAUUUGGAAAAAAAAAAUUUAACAAAAUGUCUUGAACAUUAACUUCGAAUUGUGAAGGUUUGAAGUUGAUGUGUGGAACAAAAACCGACAAGACCAACUGCCUACAAAAGGUCGCAAACAUCAAUUUUAGAUUUCGAAGGUUCAAAGUUGAUGUUUGUGAACAAAAACUUACAUCAGAUCUUGAAAGUUCGAAGUUAAUUUUUAGAACAAUGUAUAAGUAAAAAAUAUUAAACUUGGGACCUUCAAAGUCUGUAGGGGCAAUUUGGGAAAAAAAUAGGUAUGAACGUAAAAUAAAACCUUUUAGAAUAUUUUUUUAAUAACAAUGAUUCCGAAGGAUAUUAGGAAAAAAUCUUCUUUCUUUUAUUAUAAUCUCCCAUAAAAAUUGAUGAUUUAAGUUAUAUCUAGGGUUGCUUUUGCUUAAGGACCUGGUUUCUAUAUGGGGCAAGCCCGCAUAUGUAGAAAUGAGGGGCCUUUUAAUAAAUCUAUUUUUUAGAUGGAUUUUAAUACUCAAUUUUCUAAGACAUGUAAUCUCUAACAUGGAGAUCAUGAAUAUGAAAAAAUAAAUAAAUUUAAAAAAUUAAAAUAAUAAUUCUAGUAAAAAAAUAUUUGGACCAUUAGUUUUUAUUGUUUUUAGAUGAAACACCUAGUUGCAUCCAUCUUUAAGAUGGAUGCUUUACACUUUUUGAACCGCAUAUGUAGAAAUGCAAUCCAGCCCGCAUGAAACAAUUUUGAUGAGCUGCAUGUUAGCCUUUGCAUUGUGCACAUGAUGACUAAACCCAAGCCUUUCUCAAACACAUGAUACCUCACUUCGUAAAAGAUUCAUUUUCAAGAUAAUUGUUGCUUGGAUACAUUUCUUUAGAAACUCUCCUUUUCAAAGUUUAAUAUUACGUUUAUAAUGUUUUUGGGGUUUUUUUUUUCCCAAAUUGUGGAAAUUUUUUUUUUUUGUAUACUGAGACCUUCAAUGUCCCAAAUUGCCUUAUUUCAAACCCACCUUCAAAAUCUUAAAUAAGGCCCGUCUUAUUAAAAAAAAAAAGGAAAAAGAAAAAAAAGGAUUUAUAUGGUUCUAAACUUCACAUAAGACCGUCAAAUUCUGAAAUAGGUGAAAUUUGAAAAAAAUAAAUAAAAUCCAAAAAAUGAGAUAUACAUGUACUAUCAAAUUUUGAAGGGUGUCUUUUUCAUCAUCAACAUCGGAACCUUAUUUCAACUAUUUGGGUCGGCUACAUGAAUCCUUCCGUAUUUAGUUCUAUCAAAGCCAUCCUCCCCAUAUUUUUUUUCACUACUUCCAUCUAUGUCAUUUGAAUGUCUUUUUAAAUAACAAGAAUUUAAAAAACGGAAAAGUUUAUAUAGAGGCUCUAAACAAUCAAAUCAGAACCUAUCUCAAAAAUUUCACUAGAAGAGAUUGUUUUGUUGCCCAAAUAUCCUUAAACUGAUCAUCUCGACAUCAAGAUGCAUGGAUAUGAGAAAAAAAAAUGGAUUUUAAGUUUUAGAAAUAGUGUAUUUUAUAAUAUAUUUUUGAACCGUCAAUUUUCAAGAUUUUCAUGUUUUCAUAGAUCGAUCUAAAAUAUUUUGAAGCUUUAAACUUUAUAAAUAAAGAUGAAAAUAUAUUUUAAGGCUAUCACAAAUAUUUUCAAUAUCGAAACCACAUUUCUUGACACGAUUAGAAGGUAGGCUCCAAUUUGAUUGUUUAGAGCCUAAGCUCUAUACAAGCCACACCCAAGAAUUUUAAAGAGUAUAUGCUAAAAGUUCUCUAUUUUUAUUGACUGUUUAAUUACUUUUAGGGAUAAGUAAGUUAUGUAUAUUUCAUCUGGCUCCUGAAGUAUAUUUUUUUUCUAAGCUCACAUGAAUAUUUUCAUUAUUUAUUAUUUCUUUCUCCUUUGUUACCUUACCUUCAACCUGCCAUUUUCAUGAUAUGUCCCUGUCUUUUCAUCAUUCUAUUGGAAAGAAAACUAAUUGCCAUAUUUCCAGUGAUUUAAAAGACCUAUACAUUUUUUAAAAAAUAUAAAAGCCCCGAAAGUUAAAAAUUGAAGGUUUGUUAAAUCAGGAUUCUGAAGUUGAUUAAGAUUUUGAAUUAGAAAAUCAAAAUUUGAAUGAGUUUUUGUUAUUAAAUGAUUUAAAUGAAUUUGAUUUCUAGACAAAUUCAUAUAUGAGCUGGAAAGAGGAUUCAGUAUAACGAUGUGGUCCAUAUUUCAGGCCAUGUUAUGUUGAGACCCUACCUUUUUUAUUUUUACAAAUUACUUUUUUUUGGGUGGGUAAGAUAUAGAUUAUCAGAUUCAAGAAAAUUUAGAUUGAAAUCAAGCUCGUGGGGACUAUGCCAAUUGCCAUAGGACCAACAUAACCCAAAGAGUGUUUCAAUCAUGAAUUUUGUUAGGGGUGUGGUUUCUAUAAGGUUGCAACCUUAUACAAUCCAAUGAAGGCACAUCUCCAAAUUUAUCAUAAUAUGUAAUUUUAGUAUAGAAACCUCUUAGGAUUAUCUGAAAUUAUAGUUUCAUGUCUAAUUAUAAAAUUUUAAACUCCAAAAAGGUUAAAAUGAAAUAGAUAUAUACAUAUGAAUAUCUUGAAAAUGGAUGUUCUAGAUAAUGUGUUGCAAGAUGCAUUAUUUUUAGGACUCAAAAUCUUUUUUUUUUUUCUCCGUAUUCACCCAUCUCAAUGUCAAGAUGAUUAAUUAGAGGGUUUUUCAACAUUAAAACAACCUUCUCCAAUAGAUUUUUGAGGUACAUCUUAAAUUCUACAUUUUAAGGUUGCAACCUUACAUAAAACUUUCUCCCUUUGUUCAAUGAAGUCUGCCAAUUAAAAGAAUGCAUAAGGGGAAACUAGUAAAUCAGCAUAAAUAAAUUAUAGAUAUGAAACCCAAAAACCAUGUCUUUGAGUGGAAUAGCAAAACAUAUGAUGAACAAGGAGAGACAUGAACUUCUUGACAUCACAUAUCAUUACGCAGUUAUUAGGUCCAUUAAGGCCUACAAUGAACCUACUAUGCCUGUGAUAGUCUUGGAACUUAUCCAUCACGGCCUUCACGGAUCGAAUAGCUCAUGGAACACCAGACACCCACUUGGGUGCUUCUUGGGGUGUUGGGAGGGAGAGAGUAUCGUGGACCUAGUAGAUCUGUAAAAAGGGUACUUUGAGUAAAAAAUAAGGAAUAAAAUGAGAAAAAUGGGCAUAAGUGUAAAAUUAUAGAAAUAUGAGUCUUUCUUGAACUAUUGAAAAAUGAUAUUUUAGAUAAUUGCCCUUAAAACUUAAUGUGAUGUGUAUAGUUCUAAAGUCUAACUUUUGAACUGCUCAAAAAAAAAAAAAAAAUACUCAAAUAUAUAUAUAUAUAUUUUAGUAAAAUCGGAAAAAAAAACCCCAAAUUUUCAAAACCUCAUCUACACCAUUUUUCACUAUUUUCGGCUUUUUUUUUUUUUUACCAAAAUGACCUUCACAGUAAUCUUUUUGCCGUAAAGAGAAUUACGAUACUUUAAGUACCAUAAUUUAUAGAAAGGUCCAUACGGUAAUUUAUAUACCGUAAUUUUAAGGCAUUUUAUACGGUAAUUUAAUUAUCGUAAUAUAUUAACAUAAAAUUACGGUACUCGAAGUACCGUAAUGUCUUCCACAUAUUACGGUACUCCUUCUCUCUCUCUGUCUCAUAUAUCAAAAAAACCCACUUCUCCUGAGCCUUUUCCUUCGAAUAUUUUCUCUCUCUAGACUCCCAUAAUCAAACUUGCAACCUCUUCUCCUUCCUCCAUGUGUUUUCUACACUUCUCUGCAAAAACCCAAAUCUUUCCUUCUAUUUUCACACUUUUUGUAGCCUUUCUCUCCUUUGUAAAUGAACCCAUUAUCGCUCCAAAACCUAAUUCUCUCUCUCUAACCCUUCAUAAAGAAUCUCAAUUCUUGGUGCCUGAUCAACAUUAACAGACCUUGGUUCAUGGCAAGUUCUAUAACUUUUUUCGACCACCCAAUUGACUGAACAUGAAAAGUCCUUCCUCAUUUUUUUCGACGAAAUUUGGUAAUUUUUCAUGAAAAUGUUCAAGCAUGCACAACUCUUUAAUGAAAAACAGUGAACCGAGAAAAAAAGAGAAAAACCCCACUUUUAUUAUAGAAAAUAAAUGUGUUUAAAACUUGUAUAAAUCAUAAAAAAAGAAAAAAAAUGAAAAAAAAAAAAACCCAAUUCAAUAGCCACAACUGAAGACAUCUAUUGAAAGUUCCCAACUUUACCAAUCCCUUUGCUCGAGUUCUCUCUCGAACUCAGCUUUUCCUUUAGUUCACAGAGUGUGGGAGGAGAGGGGUAGCCCUGAUAAACUUUUCACCUAAUUUACAUAAUGCAGGAGGACCUGAUAAACUUUUCACCUGAUUUACAUAAUGCAGGAGGAGAGAGGUAACCUUGAUAUUAGUUUCGGUUUGAAGCUUUUCAACUAAUUGCUAGGGUAGCCUUAAUAUUUUGGCAUUUGGAAUUGACUGGGAAAGUAUUACAAUAAUAUGCGUACCGUAAAGACUUCCCCUUAUAUUACGGUAAUUAAAUUACUGAAUAAUAAUUCAAACUAUUACCGUAUUUAAAUUAUCGUAAAAGUAAUGAUCUUACAGGACCCUCCCCCACCCAUGUGUGUAGGACCCCAAAUGAUCACCAUUAAAUUUAGCACGGAUAUCUAAAAAAAUUAUCACAAACUUGAUUUUUUUAAAGAAAUCGAAUAAAAAAGGGCUAUGAGUGUAAUGACAUAAGUUUGUUGGAAGCUUUUUAAAUAAUGAGAAUUCAUCAAUAUUAAAGAACUUGGGAACUUUAAGGUCUUGAGUUUCUCUUAUGGAUUCCACGAGAGGAAUUCAGGACCUUGAAGGUCUUAAGUCAAGAGCAAUUUUGGUAGUUUUAAAACAUUAAAAAAAUGGGUAUGACUGUAAUGACAUAAAACUUUCUAAGUAAUGAAUUCUAGGAUGUAUGUGUAAAAUUCUCUUGAUAUCAUUUUGCAUAUUGUAAAAAGAGUUGGAACUUUCAUUUUCUUCCCCCAUUUCACCCAACAAACUCCAACAUUUUUUUAUCGCAUUUUUUACCCCUAAACAAACUUUUAUAGCAAAUAAACCCCCCCCGCCCCCCUCUGGUCAUUGGUUUGACACUUGUAAAUGUGGUCCGACAAAUUGUUGUUGCGGUUAUAAUGAUGUGUCGGUCCGGUAUUGGUAAAUGCGGUCUAACAGUUAAUGUGGUAUGGGUUCCAGUCCGGUAGUAAUAUGCGCCGAAUUGUCUUUGGUGAUUGAGCGUAUACGAGAAUGUGGCUCCUUCAUGUACGAGCAAGGGUAUUCUCGUCAUCCAAAUUAUGACUUUUUUAUUUGGGGGAGGUAUUUGCUAUAAAAGUUAGUUUUUAAAUAAAAGUUGCAAUAAAAAAGUUGGUCAGGGGGGGCGGUUGUAAAAAAAGUUGAGUCAAGGGGUUAUUUUUUUUUGUAAUUUUAUCUUUUUAAAAUAAUCCAAAGCUGCACGUCUAACUUUGGACUUUCAAUGAUCGAAUAAUUUUCAAUCUAAGGUUGCAAUGUAAGUUCAUUAUUAACUUCUGCCCUUCAAGGUCAGAACUUAAAGGUUCGAGGUAAGUAUAUAACAAAUGUUUACCGAAUUUUGAUCCUUUCAUCCAAGAGUUAAAUUUUAGACAUUCAAAACAAUCUGGUCAAAAAUAAAUUUUUUGGAAAGGGAGGAUAUGAAUGUCAAACAUAAAUUAUAGGGAGGGGCCAUAUUAGCAUAAAUUUAUCUAUUUUCUAUUGAUAUUUAUUGUCUAAUAAAGGCAUGUAUCAUUCUCUUGCAAGAGUCCACGAUACACUUACUCACUUAGGCAAAUGAUUUACUAGAGAGGCAUUCUUUAGAACAGAAGUUUGAGGCCCACUUUUGAUACAUAUUUACUCCAACAAAAGAUCUACUAAAGAGGACUUUUUCAGUCUAGCAGUUUGAGACCUACCUUUGAAUCGCUAGAUGAGUAUUUAAAGAUUUCCUUUAUUUUUUUGAAAAUUAGAAAAAUGAUAUAGACAUUUUUCAAUUUUAUAAAAAGGUCCCUUUUUUUUCUCUCUAUUCCCUAAAUUGCCCCUAGUUCGACCGUAAUUACGAUUAUUUCGCCAUUUUUUUGGUUUACUACUUAAGGAGUAGUUGGACCCUUGAAGGGUUGAACUGCAUUUUAAGUGCAUAUCCCUCUAAAUUCAUUUUCGUUUACCUUUUUUUUUCUUUUCUUUUUUUUUCUUUUUUUUUAAGAAAUUUGAGUGCAUGUUGCUCCAAAUUCAUGUUAUUUUAAAGGGAAAAGUUUACAUAGAGCCGAGGCUCUAAACAAUCAAAUUAGAGCCUACCUCAAAACUUUCACUAAAAGAGGUUGUUUUGAUGCCCAUAUAUCCUCAAAUUGAUCAUCUCGACAUCAAGAUGCAUGAAUAUGAGAAAAAAAAAAAAUGGAUUUCAAGUUUUGGAAAUAGUGUAUUUUGUAAUGCAUUUUUGGACCGCCAAUUUUCAAGAGUUUCAAGUUUUCAUAGAUCUGUCAAUCUACACUAAUUUGAAGCUUUAAACUUGAUAAAUAAAGAUGAAAAUAUAUUUUUAGGCUAUCACAAAGAUUUUCAAUAUUGAAACCACAUUUCUCAACACUAUUUUAAGGUAGGCUCUAAUUUGAUUGUUUAGAGCCUAAGCUCUAUACAAACCGUACCCUAUUUUAAAUAUCCCUUCUAAAAGUUUAUUUUUAUGCUAAUACCUAUUUUUUAUUUUUUAUUUGUUUUCGAUCAAAUUGCCCCUACUUCGGACCUUAAGACCAAAGUUUAACUUGGUUCAAAAAAAAAAAAAAAAAAACUUUUAUUAUGAAGACGACACAACCACUCUUGUCCAUUUGAUUUCAAACCGGGUGGUUCUUCAGAGUUCAAAAAAAAAAAAAAAAUCAAACUUUUAAGCCAUCCAAUUUGACAUUUAAUGACUAGAAGUAAUUGUGAUAAAUAAUCACAUAAUAUACACAAUCUCUUGUUUUUAAAGGUAAAUUGUGGAUCUUCAAAGUCUAAAGUUUGUUUUUUAAGGUAAACUUCUGAUGACCUUCAAGGUUCGAAGUUUAUCUUUGGGAUAAUGUUUGUAGGGACAAAAGUCACAAAACUAAACUUCGGACCUUCAAUUUUCGAAGUAGGUGAAUUGAGUCAAAUUUCUCUCUUUCUUUUUGGGUUUUUUUUUGAGAAAAAGCAUAAAAGUAAAAAUAGAAGUAGUUUGACACCUAAAGGGUAAAACUACUUUCAUUUAUUUUUACUUUUAGAUGUAGUUCGAAUUUGAUCCUUUCAAGGUUCAAGCUAACUGGCCUGGUUCAAAGCAGCUUCUGGUUUGACCAAAAGUAAAAUCAGAAGCUAGUUAGACCCUUCAAGGUUCAAACGAAGCUUAAUUUGACGACUUGUGGUCGAACUAGAAGUUGGCUCAAUGCUUUUGGUUUGACCGAGGCUAGUUCAACCCUCGAAGGGUUGUCAAACUAGUUUGCAGGGUCGACAAACUACCUUAGUUCAACCCUUCGCUAGCAACAAGUUGGGAGAGGCUAGACAUAAUUGAAACAAAAAAAUAAAAGUUAAAGAAGUAAAGGGCUUGGCCGGCCCUACAUAGUCCUGCAUUCGAGCCACAUUAUUGUGGCCAAGGCGUUAUUUUUUGAGGGACAGGCCAAUUGGGCCGGGUAGGGCCACCCCGCCCCAUUGGCAUCCUUAUCGAGGGUUGAAUCUGGCCCUUAAAAGACCCAAGCUCCUUCUAAAGCAAUGAAAACAUAUAGCUCCACCCUUAAGAGAAAAAAAAAAAAAGGAAAAAAAAAGAAGCAGAUGUAGUUUGAGCCUUCAACUUAGUCUACCGUUGAAUUGUGAAAUCUAGUAUUUAAAAACUCAAUUCUCUCUCUUUAUUUUUCUUUUCUUUUUUAAUCUUGAAAUUUAUAUUGAAGAAAUCAGUUGCACUCAAAAAAAUACAAAGGUUUAUAUUCUUUUCUCUUUCUCAAAUUUAUUUUUGUCAUUUUUUCAGGUGAAUAAUUUAUUUUUGUUUUAGAUAUCAUCUUUCUAAUUGCUAUAUUACCUAGAGAGAGAGUGUGAGAGAGUUGGUAUGUUACCUAGAGAGAGAAAGAGGGGAUAUCACAAUAUUUCUAAAUUUCUAAUUGCCAUAUUACUUAGAGAGAGAGAGAGAGACCGAGAGUGAGAGUGAGAGAGAGUAGUUUAGAAAGAAGUUACAGAGAGCGAGGAACUUAAAAACUCAUUCAUAGAGAGAGAGAGNNNNNNNNNNNNNNNNNNNNGAAGACGAUACAACCAAUCUUGUCCAUUUGAUUUCAAACCGGGUGGUUCAUUGACUGCCUUCAGAGUUCAAAAAAAAAAAAAAUCUCAAACUUUUAAGCCAUCCAAUUUGACAUUUAAUGACUAGAAGUAAUUGUGAUAAAUAAUCACAUAAUAUACACAAUCUCUUGUUUUUAAAGGUAAAUUGUGGAUCUUCAAAGUCUAAAGUUUGUUUUUUAAGGUAAACUUUUGAUGACCUUCAAGGUUCGAAGUUUAUCUUUGGGAUAAUGUUUAUAGGGACAAAAGUCACAAAACUAAACUUCGGACCUUCAAUUUUCGAAGUAGGUGAAUUGAGUCAAAUUUCUCUCUUUCUUUUUGGGUUUUUUUUUGAGAAAAAGCAUAAAAGUAAAAAUAGAAGUAGUUUGACACCUAAAGGGUAAAACUACUUUCAUUUCUUUUUACUUUUAGAUAUAGUUUGAAUUUGAUCCUUUCAAGGUUCAAGCUAACUGGCCUGGUUCAAAGCAGCUUCUGGUUUGACCAAAAGUAAAAUCAGAAGCUAGUUAGACCCUUUAAGGUUCAAACGAAGCUUAGUUUGACGACUUGUGGUCGAACUAGAAGUUGGCUCAAUGCUUUUGGUUUGACCGAGGCUAGUUCAACCCUUGAAGGGUUGUCAAACUAGUUUGCAGGGUCGACAAAACUACCUUAGUUCAACCCUUCGCUAGCAACAAGUUGGGAGAGGCUAGACAUAAUUGAGACAAAAAAAUAAAAGUUAAAGAAGUAAAAGGCUUGGCCGGCCCUGCAUAGUCUUGCAUUCGAGCCACAUUAUUGUGGCCAAGGCGUUAUUUUUUGAGGGACAGGCCAAUCGAGCCGGGUAGGGCCACCCCGCCCCAUUGGCAUCCUUAUCGAGGGUUGAAUCUGGCCCUUAAAGACCCAAGCUACUUCUAAAGCAAUGAAAACAUAUAGCUCCACCCUUAAGGGGAAAAAAAAAAGGAAAAAAAAAGAAGCAGAUGUAGUUUGAGCCUUCAACUUAGUCCACCGUUGAAUUGUGAAAUCUAGUAUUUAAAAACUCAAUUCUCUCUCUUUAUUUUUCUGUUCUUUUUUAAUCUUGAAAUUUAUAUUGAAGAAAUCAGUUGCACUCAAACAAAUACAAAGGUUUAUAUUCUUUUCUCUUUCUCAAAUUUAUUUUUGUCAUUUUUUUAGGUGAAUGAUUUAUUUUUGUUUUAGAUAUCAUCUUUCUAAUUGCUAUAUUACCUAGAGAGAGAGUGUGAGAGAGUUGCUAUGUUACCUAGAGAGAGAAAGAGGGGACUAGAGAGAGAAAGAGGGGAUAUCACAAUAUUUCUAAAUUUCUAAUUGCCAUAUUACUUAGAGAGAGAGACCGAGAGUGAGAGUGAGAGUGAGAGAGAGAGUUUUGAAAGAAGUUACAGAGAGCGAGGACUUAAAAAACUCAUUCAUAGAGAGAGAGAGAAUCUGGCAAAUUACCGUUUGCGAACCCAUCUCCAACGGCUAUAUUCCACUUAGAAGGGAAAAGGAAGCCCAAAACUAUUGUCCACCGCUGGAUAUAGUUUGUGCUUCUCCUCCCAUCCCAACCGUUGGAUGAAAGAUGACCGUUGCGAGCGUCCCUCUUUCCUUAUUUCAAAAACCCAUGGUGCCUCUUCACCCUUAUAUCUCUCUAUCGGACCGGACCAGACCAAACCCAUUUCGAAACCAGAGUUUGCGAGCUUAGACAGAGACAGAAGAGAGAGAAGAGGCAGAAGAACAGAGGGAGUUGACGAAGAUUGAGAGAGAAGGGUUAGAUAUAGAGAGAGAGAGAGAGAGAGGCCUGGUUUUUUCUUGCCCUCUUCUCAGUUUGUUCCUCUCACUGUGGCGAACCCUAAUUUUGAACCCCAGUCUCGAAGCCGAUUACAUUGUUUCUUUUCUACUGUUAUUUCGAGUCUUGGAGCUGUUGUUUUUCGGCAAAACCAGGAAGAGGAGAUGGCAGCAACCAGGAAUGCAGUACCCCAAACCAGAGGUAAUAAACAAUUUAGGGUUUAUUUUAUUUCAUAGCGAAUGGUUCUCUGAAAAUUUGGCUGCGUGCUUAUUUAGGAUCUGGUUUGGGUUUUUCAUUGGAAAUGAAUGUAUGACAUGUUCUUUUCAUUUUUUUUUCUUCCCCAUAGCUUUUGGGUCAGAUGAUCAUUUAGGGAUUCUUUGUGACUGAAUCUGUGAUUUUUUCACAGAAUUGAUCCAGAAUCCGUUUCUUGAUUCAUAAUUUCCUGUUUCUGUUAAAUAUCUGCGAAUUUUAGGGCUAUUUUCUUCUCCUGAAACUAGUUUUGAGAGAUUUUACAGGAGCAUUUCCAGAAUCAGUUUUAGGUUUCUCAUGGGCUCAGCUCUUUUAUUUUGUGGUCUCAGGGUUUCUUCCAUAGCCAUUCUAUGUCUUGGCCGUAUUUUUACAGAAUCUAUGUUUGGGUUAUGUAGCAAGUCAAUGUUUGCGUGUUAUUGUUCUUUUCAUGUCUAUAGCCCUCAAAACAAAGGCAUCGACACGGUUUACCCUUUAUUCUGGCUCUGCAAUUUGUUCUAACCUAAAAUGGGUUUAACGGCUUUCAGGUUUUUGAGCUCUUAAUCAAUCAAACUAUUGAUUAACUUGGAUUCAAGUUUUCUUUCUCUGGUAGUGUUCUCUAGAAACACUUCCAGAUUCAGAUUCAGUGGUUUUUUGUUGUCCAUCUAUCAAAUUGCCUGAUUCAGGGUUUUCAAGGCUUCAAUGGUUUCUUUUAACCUCUCAGUCUAUCAAAACGAGUCUAUUAAAACUAACUCUCACUUUUUAGUGUACUUUGCUGGCUCUUUAAAAUGCUUCCAAUACUUCCUCAGUUUUUGGGUUUUCAUUGUUUCUGUGAUGAUGGCUUCUCUCUCUCUCUCUCUCUCUCUCUCUCUCUCUCUCNNNNNNNNNNNNNNNNNNNNNNNNNNNNNNNNNNNNNNNNNNNNNNNNNNNNNNNNNNNNNNNNNNNNNNNNNNNNNNNNNNNNNNNNNNNNNNNNNNNNNNNNNNNNNNNNNNNNNNNNNNNNNNNNNNNNNNNNNNNNNNNNNNNNNNNNNNNNNNNNNNNNNNNNNNNNNNNNNNNNNNNNNNNNNNNNNNNNNNNNNNNNNNNNNNNNNNNNNNNNNNNNNNNNNNNNNNNNNNNNNNNNNNNNNNNNNNNNNNNNNNNNNNNNNNNNNNNNNNNNNNNNNNNNNNNNNNNNNNNNNNNNNNNNNNNNNNNNNNNNNNNNNNNNNNNNNNNNNNNNNNNNNNNNNNNNNNNNNNNNNNNNNNNNNNNNNNNNNNNNNNNNNNNNNNNNNNNNNNNNNNNNNNNNNNNNNNNNNNNNNNNNNNNNNNNNNNNNNNNNNNNNNNNNNNNNNNNNNNNNNNNNNNNNNNNNNNNNNNNNNNNNNNNNNNNNNNNNNNNNNNNNNNNNNNNNNNNNNNNNNNNNNNNNNNNNNNNNNNNNNNNNNNNNNNNNNNNNNNNNNNNNNNNNNNNNNNNNNNNNNNNNNNNNNNNNNNNNNNNNNNNNNNNNNNNNNNNNNNNNNNNNNNNNNNNNNNNNNNNNNNNNNNNNNNNNNNNNNNNNNNNNNNNNNNNNNNNNNNNNNNNNNNNNNNNNNNNNNNNNNNNNNNNNNNNNNNNNNNNNNNNNNNNNNNNNNNNNNNNNNNNNNNNNNNNNNNNNNNNNNNNNNNNNNNNNNNNNNNNNNNCUCUCUCUCUCUACUAUAUCUCUCUCUCUCUCUCUCUCUCUCUCUCUCUCUCUCUCACUCACUCACUCUCUCUCUCUCAAAUUGUGUUUCUGUUUUGGUUUUCAGGAGUUUUGGAGCACAACUUCUGGCCAAUGCACAGGCUGCUGCAGUCAAUAAGGUAAAUGAUCUAAACCCCCCUCCAUUUCUUGAUCAUUUUCAUCUUGAUUCUUAUCAUGCGAAUCAUUAUCUUCCUUGCUUUGGCAUAAGAAUGUUUUUUGCUUCCAUAUACAAUUUCCAAACUGUGAUAGAAUCGGGCAUAAAAGAAGAAUGAGAUUUUUUCUUCUGUAUACGGUAUCACCUCUAAUCAGUGAUAGGCGUAGGUGAAGUUCCGUAUUACUUUGUGAUAAAAUUAGGCAUAAGAAUGGUUUUCUCUUGAUGAAUUGGGUCCAAUCUAUGAUUUAUUAGGUGGUACAGAAACCAGUUGUGCCACCUCCGGCUAAACCCAAAGUCACUGUUAAGCCAAAGCCCGAAAACAUAAUUGAGGUUAGCUCCGACACAGAGCAGAAAAAAACACAAGAGAAGACUGCCAACAGAAGGGCAUCAAGGAAGAAAGUUCACACUCUCACUCAAGUCCUCACUGCUCGAAGCAAGGUAUUCAUCUCACUGUCAGUCUCUCUCUUUACCUAUCAGUCUUGUGUUUUGAAUUUGAAUCUAGCAUGUAUGUGCCACUCAAUUUUCAUAGCAUAUCAGUCUGUGUGGUUUGGCUACAUAUCUGGUUCAAAUAAAGAUAUGUGGGCAAAAAAAUCUUUGUUGCUUAUGAAGACCAAGUUUUGUUCUCACUUCUGAAAGAUGCUUGAAUCGUAAUGUUAUUUUUCUGCUGGUUAAUUCAGUUUGGUGUGAAGCUUUAUGUUUGUUAAUGUGAUAUUAGGUUGAUCUUGUUCUUCUAUUUCAUUAUGUGCAUGGCGAUUGUCAGGCUGCUUGUGGCUUGAAGGACGAGCUGGAGGAAAAGGUCGAUGACAUUGAUGCUGCCGAUGUCCAUGAUCAAUUAGCGGUGGUUGAUUACAUUGAAGAUAUCUAUGCAUUUUACAAGAAAGCAGAGGUAUAAUAAACUCUCUCUCUCUCUCUCUCUCUCUAAUGUCUUUGCUCUAAAAUGCCCUCGUUCCUAGUACAAAAAUGAAGAACUCUCUACCCGUCUCUCUCUCUCUCUCUCAUCGUCUUUCAAUUUUUGUGCAGAGUCUGAGUCAGAUUCGUGACUAUAUGGGUUCGCAAGUUGAGAUUAAUGAUAAGAUGAGGGCAAUUCUCACUGAUUGGUUGAUUGAAGUGCAUUUGAAAUUUGAGCUAAUGCCUGAGACACUGUACCUUACGAUGCACAUUGUUGAUCGCUAUCUAUCCAUGAAGAUAGUCAAGAGAAGAGAUUUACAGUUGGUUGGUGUCACGGCCAUGCUCGUGGCCUGCAAAUACGAAGAAAUAUGGGCUCCAGAGGUGAAACUAUCUACAUGAAGAAAGUUGAGAGGAGGGAUUUACAGUUGGUUUUCAAGAUUUCUGUUUAGAAUCUCUUACCAAUUUUCCAAUAUGUUUCACAGUUUUUUUUUUUACUGAUCUUUAAGAUUUUUCUUGUAUGUGGCCAUUUUAUUGAAUGUUGCUUGUUUAGAUGUUCCUAUAGUUACUACCCUCUCUCUCUCUCUCUAUAUAUAUAUAUAUAUAUAUAUACAUCUUCUGUAUUUUACGUUAAUUGUUGCAGUAAUAAAUGUACUUUGUAUGCUAUAUCAGAACAAAGCAUACAGACGAGAAGAACAGAUCCUGGCUAGUGGAAGAAACGACAUACUAGAAUGUANNNNNNNNNNNNNNNNNNNNNNNNNNNNNNNCUCUCUCUCUCUCUCUCUCUCUCUCUCUCUCUCUCUCUCUCUCUCUCUCUCUCUCUCUCUCUCUCUCUCUCUGACUACAUACAUCUUCUGAUUUUCGUUAAAUGUUUGCAGAUAAAUGACUUUGUAUGCAUAUCAGACAAAGCAUACAGCAGAGAACAGAUCCUGGCUAUGGAGAAAGACAUACUGAAUGACCUUGAAUGGAACUUAACAGUCCCUACACCAUAUGUUUUCCUCGCUCGCUUCCUGAAGGCUGCUGGAUCUGACAAACAGGUGUGAAAGCCAACCCCUCCCCCCCCUGGUCUCUCUAUUGUGUGGUGUGGUUCGAAAUUUGUAUUUCCAUAUUCUCUCUCACACAAUCAGUUGCUGGUUUUCAUUUGGGCAGUGCCAAAGUCCUCUUAGUUUCUCUCACCGUGUUGAGCCCCCUCCCCUAUUCUUUUAUCCAUUUCCCUCUUACUGUCUGUUUCUACUGGUUUUCUUGUGGGAUGGUGUCAUUUUUGUUUGUCAGUUCGCUUUCUCGUUAUCUCUUACCGCUGGUUUUUGUAUGGGGUGUUAUCAAAUCUGGGACUCAAAUUUCUCUCUCUGUGUUGAGUUCUUUUCUCUUUGGCAUGCAGAUGGAGGACCUAGUUUUCUUCUUUGCCGAGCUGAGCUUGAUGCAUUAUGUCAUGACGAAAUACAGCCCUUCCAAGAUGGCUGCCUCUGCUGUUUAUGCUGCUCGCUGCACUCUUAACAGGACUCCCUUCUGGACCCAGACGCUCAUCCUGCAUACAGGCCUUUCAGAAGCUCAAGUGAAGUAAGCUCUCUCUCUCUCUCUCUCUCUAAGAUAAUAUUUUGGCAAGGCCUUGUAGAAGAAGUUAAGGUCCCCCUCUGUUUUCUGUUUCCCUGCAAAGAAACUCUGUCAAAUUCAUUUAACCUGAAGUGGUGGACCCACUGGUUUCGAAAAUAUCGGAGAACCCCCCCCCUCCUAGUUAGUAAAAGUUUUUAACCUCCCCAAACAUUCAAGAGUAAGCAGUUCCCUCCCUGAUUUCACUGUUUCUAAAAUUUUCCUGAUUUUUGCUUGCCUGGAGAAGUCACUACAGGUUCUGAAAUUUUUUUAAAAAAUCACUGGUUUUGAAGAAACUUAAACAAAUCCAGUUUGCAGAGAGAGAAGGGAGAGAGAGAAGAAAAAAGGGUGGUUAUUUUUACAUAAGCUGAUUAUGGUAAUUAAUUUGUUCAUAUGAUUCAGGGAUUGUGCAAGUCUCAUGGCUGAAUUCCAUUCUGUGGCCAUCGAGAGUAAGCUGAAGGUGAUAUACAGGAAAUAUUCAAAUCCUCAGCUCAGCUCUGUCGCGCUUCUUCCGUCUGCUGCCCAACUCUUAUUAUCAAAAUCGCCAACAUCAUAACCAUCUUUUAAAUCAAUCUAAUAUCUAUGGUAUAUGUAAAGCGCAAGUUCCCCUCAGAACCGACGCGCCAAGUGAUGUUUUUUGAGUUUUGGCAGUUUGUUAUGUUUUUUAUUUGGGAAAUAUUCAAAUCCUUGGCUCUCUCAGCUGUGUCACACUUUUCCGGUUUGUCAUGAAAACCAGCAACCUUGAUUGAUUGUUUCUUUAUUAUGUAUUACACUGACUAAGAAAAUUUGCUCUUACAAUAUUUGUAAUUUUUGUGGAAUUGUAAUUUUUGUGGAAUAUACAACUUUGAUUUUCUACUGAAAUCUUGAGCAUUGAAACUCUUCAAAGAACCUAUCCACAAGAAUUUUUUGUAAAGCAGUUUUUUGUGUUUUUUAUUUGGGAAAUAUUCAAUCCUUGGCUCUCUCUCAGCUGUGUCACACUUUUCCGGCUUGUCAUGAAAACCAGCAACCUUGAUCGAUUGUUUCUU